rnacentral:lncRNA from 1 species
AAGCUAACGGUCGGGUCAAGUCAAUCACAUCAUUCUCUAAUGAUGUGUUCUCGUUAAUCAAAUGGCAUCUCAUGUCUAUGGUUAGGAAACAUAACCAUCACUGAUUCAACGAGGUAGUCAAGUAGAGGCAUACUAGUGACAUUCUGUUUGUCUAUGUAUUCACACAUGUACUAAGUUUCGGGUUAAUAUAAUUCUAGCAUGAAUAAUAAACAUUUAUCAUGAUAUAAGGAAAAUAUAAAUAACAACUUUAUUAUUGCCUCUAGGGCAUAUUUCCUUCAGUCUCCCACUUGCACUAGAGUCAAUAAUCUAGUGCACAUCGUCAUGUGAUUUAACACCAAUAGUUCACAUCUUUAUGUGAUUAGUUCACAUCUCCAUGUGACUAACACCCAAAUGGUUUACUACAGUCAAUAAUCUAGUUCACAUCGCUAUGUGAUUAACACCCAAAGAGUGAUCAUGUUUUGCUUGUGAGAGAAAGUUAGUCAACGGGUCUGCCACAUUCAGAGCCAUAUAUAUUUUGCAAAUUUCCUAUGUCUACAAUGCUUUGCACGGAGCUACUCUAGCUAAUUGCUCCCACUUUCGAUAUGUAUCUAGAUCGAGACUUAGAGUCAUCCAGAUCGAUGUCAAAGCUUGCAUCGACGUAACUCUUUACGACGAACUCUUUGUCACCUCCAUAACCGAGAAACAUUUCCUUAUUCCACUAAGGAUAUUUUUGACCGUUGUCCAGUGAUCCACUCUUGGAUCACUAUUGUACCCUCUUGCCAAACUUAUGGUGAGGUACACAAUAGGUCUGGUACACAGCAUAGCAUACUUUAUAGAACCUAUGACUGAGGCAUAGGGAAUGACUUUUCAUUCACUUUCUAUUUUUCUGCCGUGGUCGGGUUUUGAGUCUUUACACAACUUCACACCUUGCAACACAGGCAAGAACUCCUUCUUUGAUUUUUCCAUUUUGAACUACUUCAAAAUCUUGUCAAGGUAUGUACUCAUUGAAAAUAUAUCAAGCAUCUUGAUCUAUCUCUAUAGAUCUUGACGCUCAAUAUGUAAGUAGCUUCAUCAAGGUAUUUCUUUGAAAAACUCUUUUCAAACACUCCUUUAUGCUUUCCAGAAAAUUCUACAUUAUUCUCGAUCAACAAUAUGUCAUUCACAUAUACCUAUCAGAAAUGAUGUAGUGCUCCCACUCACUUUCUUGUAAAUACAGGCUUCACCGCAAGUUUGUAUAAAACCAUAUGGUUUGAUCACUUUAUCAAAGUAUAUAUUCCAAGUCCGAGAUGCUUGAACCAGUCUGUAGAUGGAUCGCUGGAGCUUGCACACUUUGUUAGCACCUUUAUGAUUGAAAAAACUUUCUUGUUGCAUCAUAUACAACUCUUCUUUAAGAAAUCCAUUAAGGAAUGCAGUUUUGACAUCCGUUUGCCAGAUUUCAUAAAAUGUGGCAAUUGCUAACAUGGUUCGAACAGACUUAAGCAUCGCUACGAGUGAGAAAAUCUCAUCAUAGUCAACAUCUUGAACUUGUCGAAAACCUUUUGCGACAAUGCAAGCUUUGUAGAUAGUAACACUACUAUCAGUGUCCGUCUUCCUCUUGAAAAUCCAUUUAUUAUUAAUGGCUCACCAAUCAACGGGCAAGUCAAUCAAAGUCCAUACUUUCUUCUAAUACAUGGAUCUCAUCUCAGAUUUCAUGGCUUCAAGCCAUUUCGCGGAAUCUGGGCUCAUCAUCGCUUCCUCAUAGUUCGUAGGUUCGUCAUGGUCAAGUAACAUGACCUCCAGAAUAGGAUUACUGUACCACUCUGGUGCGGAACAUAUUCUGGUUGACCUACGAGGUUCGGUAGUAACUUGAUCUGAAGUUUCAUGAUCAUCAUCAUUAACUUCCUCACUAAUUGGUGUAGGAAUCACUAGAACUAAUUUCUGUGAUGAACUACUUUCCAAUUUGGGAGAAGGUACAAUUACCUCAUCAAGUUUUACAUUCCUCCUAGUCACUUCUUUCGAGACAAACUUCUUCUCUAGAAAGGAUCCAUUCUUAGCAACGAAUAUCUUGCCUUCGUAUCUAUGAUAGAAGGUGUACCCGACAGUUUCUUUUGGGUAUCCUAUGAAGACGCAUUUCUCCAAUUUGGGUUCGAGCUUAUCAGGUUGAAACGUUUUCACAUAAGCAUCAUAGGGCCAAACUUUAAGAAAUGACAGCUUAGGUUUCUUGCUAAACCACAGUUCAUAUGGUGUCGUCUCAACGGAUUUAGAUGGUGCCCUAUUUAACGUGAAUGCAGCUGUCUCUAAUGCAUAACCCCAAAAUGAUAGUGAUAAAUCGGUAAGAGACAUCAUAGAUCGCACUAUAUCUAAUAAAGUACGGUCAUGACGUUCGGACACACCAUUACGUUGUGGUGUUCUAGGUGGUGUGAGUCGCGAAACUAUUCUGCAUUGUUUCAAAUGAAGACCAAACUUGUAACUCAAAUAUUCUCCUCCACUAUUAGAUCGCAGAAAUUUUAUUUUCUUGUUACGAUGAUUUUCCACUUCACUCUGAAAUUCUUUGAACUUUUCAAAUGUUUCAGACUUAUGUUUCAUCAAGUAGAUAUACCCAUAUCUGCUCAAAUCAUCUGUGAAGAUCAGAAAAUAACGAUACCCGCCGCGAGCCUCAACACUCAUCGGAUUGCAUACAUUAGUAUGUAUUAUUCCCAAUAAGUCAGUUGCAUGCUCCAUUGUUUCGGAGAACGGAGUUUUAGUCAUCUUGCCCACGAGGCAUGGUUCGCAAGCAUCAUAUGAUUCAUAAUCAAGUGAUUCCAAAAGCCCAUCAGCAUGGAGUUUCUUCAUGCGCUUUACACCAAUAUGACCUAAACGGCAGUGCCACAUAUAAGUUGCACUAUCAUUAUUAACUUUGCAUCUUUUGGCUUCAAUAUUAUGAAUAUGUGUAUUACUACGAUCGAGAUUGAAUAAAACAUUCACCUUGGGUGUAUGACCCCAGAAGGUUUUAUUCAUGUAAACAGAAUAACAAUUAUCCUUGACUUAAAUGAAUAAGUGUAUUGCAAUAAACAUGAUCCAAUCAUAUUAUGCCCUACGCAAACACCAAAUAACAUUUAUUUUAGGUUCAACACUAAUCUGGAAGGUAAAGGGAGUGUGCGAUGGUGAUUUUAUCAACCUUGGAAUCACUUCCAAAUCACAUCAUCACCUCGCCCUUAACUAUUCUCUGUUUAUUUUGCAACUCCCAUUUUGAGUUACUACUCUUAGUAACUGAACCAGUAUCAAAUACUGAGGUGUCCUUAUAAACACAAGUAAAGUACACAUCAAUAACAUGUAUAUCAAAUAUAUACUUUUGUUCACUUUGCCAUCCUUCUUAUCCGCCAAGUAUCUAGGGCAGUUCCACUACCAAUGACCAUUUCCUUUGCAGUAGAAGCACUCAGUUCCAGGCUUGGGUCUAGCUUUGAGCUUCUUCAUGGGAGCAGCAACUUGCUUGCUAUUCUUCUUUGAAGUUCCUCUUUCUUUCCCUUUGCCCUUUUCUUGGAACUACCGGUCUUGUUAACCAUCAACACUUGAUGCUAUUUCUUGAUUGCUACCUUCGCCGAUUUCAGCAUCGCGAAGAGCUUGGGAAUUACUUUUGUUAUCCCUUGCAUAUUAUAGUUCAUCACUAAGUUCUAGUAACUUGGUGAUAGUGACUAGAGAACUUUGUCAAUUACUAUCUUAUCUGGAAGGUUAACUCCCACUUGAUUCAAGCAAUUGUAGUACCCAGACAAUCUGAGCACAUGCUUACUAGUUGAGUUAUUCUCCUCCAUCUUGUAGGCAAACUACUGUGAGAGGUCUUCUACCUCUUGACACGGGCAUGAGUAUGAAAUACCAAUUUCAACUCUUAGAACAUCUUAUAUGCUAUGUGGCAUUCAAAACGUUUUUGAAAUCUCGGUUCUAAGCCGUAAAGCAUGGCGCACUAAACUAUCAAGUAGUCAUCUGAUACGUCUCCAACGUAUCUAUAAUUUUUAAUUGCUCCAUGCUAUAUUAUCUACUGUUUUGGACAUUAUUGGGCUUUAUUAUCCACUUUUAUAUUAUUUUUGGGACUAACCUAUUAACCGGAGGCCCAGCCUAGAAUUGCUGUUUUUUGCCUGUUUUAGGGUUUCAAAGAAAAGGAAUAUCAAACGGAGCCAAAACCCUAAUUCCACCGCCGUAACUUUCUGUAUCCACGAGAUCCCAUCUUGGGGCCUGUUCCGGAGCUCCGCCGGAGGGGGCAUCGAUCACGGAGGGCUUCUACAUCAACACCAUAGCCUCUCCGAUGAAGUGUGAGUAGUUUACUUUAGACCUACUGGUCCAUAGCUAGUAGCUAGAUGGCUUCUCUCUUUUUGGAUCUCAAUACAAUGUUCUCCCCCUCUCUUGUGGAGAUCUAUUCGAUGUAAUCUUCUUUUUGCGGUGUGUUUGUUGAGAUCGAUGAAUUGUGGGUUUAUGAUCAAGUCUAUCUAUGAAUAUAUUUGAAUCUUCUCUGAAUUCUUUUAUGUAUGAUUGGUUAUCUUUGCAACUCUCUUAGAAUUAUCAGUUUGGUUUGGCCUACUAGAUUGAUCUUUCUUGCAAUAGGAGAAGUGCUUAGCUUUGGGUUCAAUCUUGCAGUGUCCUUUCUCGGUGACAGUAAGGGUAGCAAGGCACGUAUUGUAUUGUUGCCAUCGAGGAUGACAAGAUGGGGUUUUCUUCAUAUUGCAUGAGUCUAUCCCUCUACAUCAUGUCAUCUUGCUUAAGGCGUUACUCUGUUUUUAACUUAAUACUCUAGAUGCAUGCUGGAUAGCGGUCGAUGAAUGGAGUAAUAGUAGUAGAUGCAGGCAGGAGUCGGUCUACUUGUCUCGGACGUGAUGCCUAUAUACAUGAUCAUACCAAGAUAUUCUCAUAACUAUGUUCAAUUCUGUCAAUUGCUCAAUAGUAAUUUGUUCACCCAUCGUAGAAUACUUAUGCUCUCGAGAGAAGCCACUAGUGAAACCUAUGGCCCCCGGGUCUAUCUCUAUCAUACAAUCUCCUACUACUUAGUUAUUUACUUUGUUGUUUACUUCGCCUUUAUUUUACUUUGCAUCUUUAUCAUAAAAAUACCAAAAAUAUUAUCUUUAUCAUAUCCAUCAGUUCUCACUCUCGUAAGUGGCCCUAUAGGGAUUGACAAUCCCUAUUUGCGUUGGUUGCGAGGAUUUAUUUGUUUUGUGCAGGUACGAGGUACUCGCGCGUAGCCUCCUACUGGAUUGAUACCUUGGUUCUCAAAAACUGAGGGAAAUACUUACGCUACUUUGCUGCAUCAUCCCUUCCUCUUCGGGGAAAACCAACGCAGUGCUAAGAGAGGUAGCAUCAUCAUUCCGAGCUUUACCAAACGUUCAUAAUGUUUGUAUCUGCUCCUGCAAUAGGUCUAUCACCUAGCGGUGCAUCAAGGACAUAAUUCUUCUAUGCAGCAAUGAGGAUAAUCCUCAGAUCACGAACCUAGUCUGCAUCAUUGCUACUAUCAUCUUUCAACAUAGUUUUUCUCUAGGAACAUAUCAAAAAUAAACGGGGAGCUACAUUGCAAACUAUUGAUCUACAACAUAGUUAUGCAAAUACUAUCAGGACUAAGUUCAUGAUAAAUUAAAGUUCAAUUAAUCAUAUUACUUAAGAACUCCCACUUAGAUAGACAUCCCCCUAGUCAUCUAAAUGGUCACGUGAUCCAAAUCAACUAAACCAUGUCCGACCGUCACGUGAGAUGGAGUAGUUUUCAAUGGUGAACAUCACUAUGUUGAUCAUAUCUACUAUAUGAUUCACGCUCGACCUUUCGGUCUCCAGUGUUCUGAGGCCAUAUCUGCAUAUGCUAGGCUCGUCAAGUUUAAUCUCAGUAUUCCGCGUGUGCAAAACUGGCUUGCACCCGUUGUAUGUGAACGUAGAGCUUUUCACACCCGAUCAUCAUGUGGUGUCUCCGCAUGAUGAACUGUCGCAACAGUGCAUACUCAGGGAGAACACUUAUACCUUGAAAUUUAGUGAGAGAUCAUCUUAUAAUGCUAAUGCCGAACUAAGCAAAAUAAGUUGCAUAAAGGAUAAACAUCACAUGCAAUCAAUAUAAGUGAUAUGAUAUGGUCAUCAUCAUCUUGUGCCUUUGAUCUCCAUCUCCAAAGCACCGCCAUGAUCACCAUCGUCACCGGCUUGACACCUUGAUCUCCAUCGAAGCAUCGUUGUCGUCUCGCCAACUAUUGCUUCUAUGACUAUCACUACCACUUAGUGAUAAAGUAAAGCAAUUACAUGGCGAUUGCAUUUCAUAGAAUAAAGCGACAACCAUAUGGCUCCUGCCAGUUGUCGAUAACUAUGUUACAAAACAUGAUCAUCUCAUACAAUAAAAUUUAGCAUCAUGUCUUGACCAUAUCACAUCACAACAUGACCUGCAAAAACAAGUUAGACGUCCUCUACUUUGUUGUUGCAAGUUUUACGUGGCUGCUACGGGCUGAGCAAGAACCGUUCUUACCUACGCAUCAAAAAAACCACAACGCGGUAUAGUGAUUGCUUUUUGAUCUUCAGAUAGAACCCUGUUCAUUGAAUCGAUUCAACUAAAGUUGGAGAAACUAACACCCACCAGCCACCUGUGUGCGAAGCACGUCGGUAGAAUUAGUCUCGCGUAAGCGUACACGUAAUGUCGGUCUGGGCCGCUUCAUCCAACAAUACCGCCGAAUCAAGAACCAACUAGUGACAGCAAGCAAUAUGUAUAUACCCACGCCCACUAGUCCUUUGUGUUUUACUCGUGCAUAUAACAUCUACGCAUAAACCUGGCUCGGAUGCCACUAUAGGGGGACGCAGUAAUUUCAUAAAAAUUCCUACGCUCACGCAAGAUCAUGGUGAAGCAUAGCAACAAGAGGGGAGAGUGUUGUCUACGUACCCUCGUAGACCGUACGCGGAAUGUCAGGACCCCGAUUCUAAGUCACAUCGAUCUAGCCGGUAACACCUCAUAUCACUUUGCGGCCUCACGCACGGUAUCCCCACGGGUGUCGCCUUACCAUGGCCCGGGACUGUUUGCGCCUUUUGGCUCACGUAUAUGAUAGUGUCACUAGCAUCCAUAUGACAGAGAACCCGAGCCGACAUGGCUAGUCGUGAACCCAAAGCGGCACAGACCUAUGGGGACAGGCAUACAUGAAUCGCAUCGAGCAUGUCGGUCAACAACGUGUGAAUCCGGGCUGUAGCACUAGGCUAACAGGACUUCGGGGAACCCGAUCUGUAGCAGGCUAGGCAGGACUCCGGAUGUCACCGCGUGACAUUUCCCUGAAGGGACAGACAUAGGAACAAAGUGAAACACAUGCCGGCCAGUCAAGUGUCUUGAGCAGUAGUGCUGGGCUAGCAGGACUCCGGUGAACCGGGCUGUAGCGGACUACUAUGGCUCAAGGAGCACUAGACUACAUUUCCCCAUAAGAGAGGCUUCCAAGGAUAAACAACUAGAUUGUCGGAUCCCACACAUACCAAGAAUUUCAAUCAUACACACAAUAUGCUCGAUAUGUGCAAAUACAACAUGGCAUCACAACAAAACUCUACAACUCAAGUACUUUAUUUAAAGGCUCCGGAGAGCCAUACAUAACAUGUUCAUACAGGUCGGGGUCACAUGACCCGACACUCAAGUCAUACAAGCAUACAAGCACAUGCGGAAGCAAAUAGUAUGAGUACAGACACUAGAAAGAAAGUAGGCUUGUCGAAGCCUAACUAUCUACAUAGGGCCCUCCAUGGCCAGGGUCACCACCUAGGUGGCAAGUUACUCAUCGACGUCGAGGUCUACAUAAAACCCAUCGGAGGGGGUGGUGUUGUCAUCUGAAAACAGUAAUUGAAGCAACAUGAGUACAAAGGUACUCAACAAGUCUUACAAUAGAACUUACUAUACAUGCUCAUUCUCAAGAAGGUGGUGGAGUUAUUGCAGCAAGCCAGCUUUGACUCUUGGCUAAGCUAUCCUACGAGACACCACUACAAAAUAGUUUUCGCACACGAGUCCACUAAUCACCAACACAAUACUCCACCGGGGAUCCUCCCUCGUCAUCGUACGAGAGGGCCAUCCUCGGUACUCACACUUAUCUUGAGUCUUUUAGUAGUAACCAUUAACUUGUCUAUGAACUGUAUAGGCAACCAAGUAGUCCUUUACCGCGGACGCGGCUAUUCGAAUAGUUUUAUACCCUGCAAGGGUGUACUUCUUCAUACAUGCUCUCACCACUUACCGUCGUUUACACGACAUGUACUCGGCAACCUUCAAGCGGAAGCCCAACUAGGGUGUCGGCCACGGCCUACCUAAACACUCAAGUCUCUAGUCCAGGUUUAUCGCCUAUCCAGGUUCCAUCCGUAGGGAGUCCGGCCGAGGUUUCCACAUACGGCCCCGAACGAUCUGAACAGGGUUCUCGAGACACCAAACGGGUACCUCGGUACACCGUGCCAUGGUGUAUCUACCACAUCAUAGCCCACCCCUAGGGUCAGCGCUACGCACGGCCGCCAACACAUAACCUACAAACACCAGAAACUAGUUGCAACUCCUGGACAGGGUACUACGAUGAUUAAGAAGCCGAGAGGGUCCAUUGGUUUCGGGCCCAAUGUAUGGUAGUAACUGAUUCUUAAAUCACACAUACAGAUAUCAGUUCUUAGGGACGGCCUCAAUGAAACAACCCACCAUGUACUCGUACAUGGCCUCUCAUCGAUACCUUUACCAAAACAUGUUCAACACAUCCCUCACAUUACCGACAUAAUCAUUUCACUCUAGCCCAUCACCCAGAUGAACCAGACCUGACACAACUCUAAGCAUAGCAGGCAUAGCAAGGUAGGAAACACAUAGAUGGCUCAAUCAACUCCUACACAUGCUAGUGGGUUUCAUGUAGUUACUGUGGCAAUGACAGGUCAUGCAGAGGAUAAGGGUUCAACUACCGCAGCACACAUCAGUUUGAAACGUUGUUGUCUUAAUUGCAGUAAGUGAGAGCAGAAGCGAGAACAUGGGAUUGUAUCGAUAUGAUCAAUGGGGCUGCUUGCCUGAUGGAGUAGUAGUAGGGUACUGCCCUUCAGUUGGAUACUCGGAGAUAUCCUCGGAGGCAGAACCUACCACGAAAGACACCACGGAAUACAAUCAUCACAUGGCAAUAUGCAACAAUAUGAUGCAUGCUAUGACAUGGCAAAAUGAGGUGUCCUACCUAAUGCAAUGUGAAACAAGUUGAAUUGGGUCCAUUUGAAUCAAAGAUUCAAAUGGGAGCUUAUGUUAUUAAUCAUUAUAAGUGUAUUAUCUUGUUUCACCUAAACAGCAAGGUUAAAGUGUUUUGUCAUGCAUGAAACCAUUACAGAUGGAAAGAUUGAAUUUUUCUGAUCAAAUUUCAUAUAUCAAUCUUUGCAUUUGGAGUUAUAGAUUAAAAGUUAUGAAUUUUAGAAGUUUUGGUUAUUUUCUGGAAUUUCCUAUAUAAGAAUAAAUCCAGAAAAGGAUUUACUGCGUCAGCGUGGCGUCAGUGUGAUGUCAGCGGUCAACUGAGACGGUCCAGGUCAACCCUGACCUGUGGGUCCCGUCUGUCAGGGUCAACUAACUAACUAAGUUUAGUUAGUGUUAAACUAAUACUAACCUAGUUUAAUUAGUGGCCUGGGGCCCACACGUCAGUGAGUCAGGGGAAAGUCAAACUGGGGUCAACCCGGGUCAAACUCGCCGGAGUUGACCCAGGGCUCGUCGCCGGCAAGGCCAGGAACGGCGGAGGGGUGCGGGUUUCCUCCUCCGGCAACCAUUUGGCCGGCGGAGGGCAUCUAUGUGACGCGGGCACUCGUCCGCGUCGAGUGGUGUAGGUGGUUGGGUCUGGGGUGGCCGGAGUCGUCGCCGGCGUCGACCUUGGCUGUCGUCGGGGCUCGGGUGAGGUCGGGGUUGUCGUUGUGACGGUCGUGGUGGCUCAUGCAGGGCACGUACGUGCUCUACGCGGCGCGGGGAGGAAGCUGGGCACGAUGGCCGGACCAUUAGAUGGCCGGAGACUCGUCGGCGGCGAGCACAGGCGGCAGCGUGUGCGGGUGAGCAUGGUGCGGUCGCUAUGGCGCACAAGGGGAAAAACGGAGAGGGGGAGAAGGUGCAGUGGCUCACGGAGGUUGCGACGACCGUCAAAGUGGGCUCGGGGAAGGUCGGAGCUGAGCUAGGUGGCGAGGGGGAUCUCCGGCGAUGGCGGAUCGGGAAGAGCUCGAUGCAGCAUCUUCGGGGCAAGCGAGCGCUCGGGGAUGGGUCAAGGCGAAGCAGUAGACGACGGCGGAGCUUGUUGGCACGGCAAGGCGACGAGUGGACGGCGGUGGCUGCGGUUUUCACGAUAGCGCGGGCGCGGCUGCGUCGGCCAUGGCAUUGAGGGAGCGAGGGAGAGAGCAGGGGGAGUGUGAGGUGUCAGGCAGUCCGGGGCGGCACCGAGGAGACGUGUGCAGCGUCAAGGCGGUGACCAGGUGAAGCAUGCGAGCAGGGAGGUGGUGUGGCGAGCUCGGGCGCGUGUGCCAUGUCCCUCUUCUGCCUACUGGCAGAGGUAGGCGAUGACUGGCACGGGCCAGCACAGUGCUGGGCCGGCCAGUGGGCCAGGUGGGCUGCGGCAGGUAGGUUUCUUUCUCUCUCUUUUUCUGUUUUUUUAUUUAUUCUGUUUUGUGUUUUGAAAUAGUAAAAAUACUAUUUCAUUUAGAAAAACCCUGAAAAUAAACAGAGGCACAUUUGAAAUAUUCUCAACAGCCUAAAAUUACUUUCGGGAUUAUUUGGGCAUUUAAAUUAUUUUAUAGCAUUUAAAUGCCCAAAUGCAAAUACUAUAUGAAUUAAUCCAAUGACCUUAGGAUGUCCUAGAAAAAUGUGCACCAUUUUUGUCAAAGGUUUUAACCCAAAACAAAAAGGGUGGACUUUUUAGAAGGGCAUUUCAGGUUCAUUGGAAAAGUUUUUAGUAAACCCUAGUUAUUCCAGGGGGUGCUGGGGGUUCUGUCAUCCCCAUUUCAGUUUUCUGGAAAUUUAAACAUGAUGCAACACUCUAAUGCAUGAACUAGCUAGGGUGUGACACGGAAGCAUUAUGACAACGCGGUUGAUGUAGUCGUACGUCUUCGCGAUCGACCGAUCCUAGUACCGAAAGUACGGCACCUCCGUGAUAUGCACACGUUCGGCUCGUGACGUCCCACGAACUCAUGAUCCAGCAAAGUGCCGAGGGAGAGCUUCGUCAGCAUGAUGGCGUGAUGACAGUGAUGAUGAUGCUACCGGAACAGGGCUUCGCCUAACCACCGCUACGAUAUGACCGAGGUGGAUUAUGGUGGAGGGGGGCACCGCACACGGCUAAGGGAUCAAUGAUCAACUUGUGUGUCUAUGGGGUGCCCCCUGGCCACAUAUAUAAAGCAUGGAGGGAGGAGGAGGCCGACCCUCAUAGGGCGCGCCCAAAGUGUGGAGUCCUACUAGGACUCCCUAGUCCUAGUAGGAUUCCACCUCCUACAUGGAAUAGGAAAAAGGGAAGGGAGAAGGAGAAGGAAGGGGGCGCCCCCUUUCCCUAAACCAAUUCGGACCAGUCCAUGGGGAAGGGGCACGGCUACUCUUGAGGCCUUUCUCUCCUUUACCGUAUGGCCCAUUAAGGCCCAAUACGAAUUCCCGUAACUCUCUGGUACUCUGAAAAAUACCCGAAUCACUUGGAACCUUUCCGAUGUCCGAAUAUAGCCUUCCAAUAUAUCGAUCUUUACGUCUCGACCAUUUCGGGACUACUCGUCAUGUCCCCGAUCUCAUCCAGGACUCCGAACAAACUUCGGUCAUCAAAUCACAUAACUCAUAAUACAAAUCGUCACAGAACGUUAAGCAUGCGGACCCUACGGGUUUGAGAACUAUGCAGACAUGACCGAGACACAUCUCCGGUCAAUAACCAAUAGCGGAACCUGGAUGCUCAUAUUGGCUCCUACAUAUUCUACGAAGAUCUUUAUCGGUCAAACCGCAUAACAACAUAUGUUGUUCCCUUUGUCAUCGGUAUGUUACUUGCCCGAUAUUCGAUCGUCGGUAUCUCAAUACCUAGUUCAAUCUCGUUACUGGCAAGUCUCUUUACUCGUUCCGUAAUACAACAUCCCGUAAAAUAACUCAUUAGUCACAUUGCUUGCAAGGCUUAUAGUGAUGUGCAUUACCGAGAGGGCCCAGAGAUACCUCUCCGACAAUCGGAGUGACAAAUCCUAAUCUCGAUCUAUGCCAACUCAACAAACACCAUCAGAGACACCUGUAGAGCACCUUUAUAAUCACCCAGUUACGUUGUGACGUUUGGUAGCACACAAAGUGUUCCUCCGACAUUCGGGAGUUGCUUGAUCUCAUAGUCAUAGGAACAUGUAUAAGUUAUGGAGAAAGCAAUAGCAACAAACUAAACAAUCAUCGUGCUAAGCUACCGGUUGGGUCAAGUCAAUCACAUCAUUCUCUAAUGAUGUGAUCUCGUUAAUCAAAUGACAACUCAUGUCUAUGGUUAGGAAACAUAACCAUCAUUGAUUCAAUGAGCUAGUCAAGUAGAGGCAUACAAGUGACAUUCUGUUUGUCUAUGUAUUCACACAUGUACUAAGUUUCCGGUUAACAAAAUUCUAGCAUGAAUAAUAAAAAUUUAUCAUGAUAUAAGGAAAUAUAAAUAACAACUUUAUUAUUGCCUCUAGGGCAUAUUUCCUACAAGAUGCAGUAGUUUUCAAUGGUGAACAUCACUAUGUUGAUCAAAUCUACUAUAUGAUUCCCGUUCGACCUUUCGGUCUCAGUGUUCUGAGGCCAUAUAUGCAUAUGCUAGGCUCGUCAAGUUUAACCCGAGUAUUCUGCAUGUGCAAAACUGGCUUGCACCCGUUGUAUGUGAACGUAGGGCUUAUCACACCCAAUCAUCACGUGGUGUCUCGGCACGACGAACUGUAGCAACGGUGCAUACUCAGGGAGAACACUUAUACCUUGAAAUUUAAUGAGAGAUCAUCUUAUAAUGCUACCGUUGUACUAAGCAAAAUAAGAUGCAUAAAGGAUAAACAUCACAUGCAAUCAAAAUAAGUGAUCUGAUAUGGCCAUCUUCAUCUUGUGCCUUUGAUCUCCAUCUCCAAAGCACCGUCAUGAUCUCCAUUGUCACCGGCUUGACACCUUCAUCUCCAUCGUAGCAUCAUUGUCGUCUCGCCAACUAUUGCUUCCACAACUAUCUCUACCGCUUAGUGAUAAAGUAAAGCAAUUACAUGGCGAUUGCAUUUCAUACAAUAAAGCAACAACCAUAAGGCUCCUGCCAGUUGCCGAUAACUUUUACAAAACAUGAUCAUCUCAUACAACAAUUUAUAUAUCUCAUCACGUCUUGACCAUACCACAUCACAACAUGCCCUGUAAAAACAAGUUAGACGGCCUCUACUUUGUAGUCGCAAGUUUUACGUGGAUGCUACGGGCUUCUAGCAAGAACCGUUCUUACCUACGCAUCAAAACCACAAUGAUUUUUCGUCAAGUGUGUUGUUUUAACCUUCAACAAGGACCAGGCGUAGUCAAACUCGAUUCAACUAAAGUUGGAGAAACAGACACCCACUAGCCACAUGUGUGCGAAGCACAUCGGUAGAACUAGUCUCAUGAACGCGGUCAUGUAAUGUCAGUCUGGGCCGCUUCAUCCAACAGUUCCGCCGAAUCAAAGUAAGACAUUGCCGGUAAGCAGUAUGACUAUUAUCGCCCACAACUCUUUGUGUUCUACUCGUGCAUAUAACAUCUACGCAUAGACCUAGCUCAGACGCCACUAUUGGGGAACGUAGCAUGCAAUUUCAAAAAAAUUCCUACGAUCCUGCAAGGUCUAUCUAGGAGAUGCAUAGCAACGAGAGGGGAGAGUGUGUCUACAUACCCUCGUAGACCGAAAGCGUAAGCAUUUAUCAACGCGGUUGAUGUAGUCGUAUACCUUCGCGAUCCAUCCCGAUCAAGUACCAAACGUACGGCACCUCAGCGUUCAGCACACGUUCAGCUCGAUGGCGUCCUCGCCUUCUUGAUCCAGAAAGACAGACGAAGUAGUAGAUGAGUUCUGGCAGCACGACGGCAAGGUGACGGUGUUAGUGAAGGACAAUCUCCGCAGGGCCUUCGCCAAGCACUACGGAAACUAUGACGAAGGAUAAACUAGAGGGGACGGGGUUGCCGGCACAUGGAUUGGUGAUUCUUGAUGUGUCUUUGGUGCUAGCCCUGCCCCUCUAUUUAUAUGUUGAGCCUUGGGGUCAAAACUUUGAGUAAAAGCCUCCAAAAAGUCGGUUUCACCCGAAUGGCAAGAGUCCUUCUCGGAUUCCAAGGCCUGACGCCAGGGUUCCCGAUGUCUGGACCCAGACACCAGGGACCCUGUCGUCUGGCCCCUGGAUUCCACAAAACUUCCUUUUGCGCUUUCCAAAACCCUUGUGGGCUUUCCCCUUUGGCCCAAAUAAAGUGUUCUCGUACCCAAACAUUCCGGGAAACAUCCGAAACCCCUUCCGGUGAACUUCGGAACCCUUUCGGAGACCAAACACUAUUAUUCCAUAUAUCAAUCUUUACCUUCGGACCAUUCCGGAGCUCCUCGUCAUAUCCGUGAUCACAUCCGGGAUUUCGAACAACACUCAGUUACCAACAUACAUAACUCAUAUAGUACUAUAUCGUCAACGAACGUUUAAGCAUGCGGACCCUAUCGGUUCGAGAACUAUGUAGACAUGACCGAGGCACUUCUCUGGUCAAUAACCAAUAGCGGAACCUGGAUGCCCAUAUUGGCUCCUACAUAUUCUAUGAAGAUCUUUAUCGGUCGAAUCUUAAUGACAACAUAUGUUGUUCCCUUUGUCAUCGGUAUGUUACUUGCCCGAGAUUCGAUCGUCGAUAUCUUCAUACCUAGUUCAUUCUUUUUACCGGCAAGUCUCUUUACUUGUUCUGUAAUGCAUCAUCCCGUAACUAACUCAUUAGUCACAUUGCUUGCAAGGCUUAUAGUGAUGUACAUUACCGAGAGGGCCCAGAGAUACAUCUCUGAUACACGGAGUGACAAAUCCUAAUCUCGAUCUAUGCCAACCCAACAAACACCUUCGGAGACACCUGUAGAGCAUCUUUAUAAUCACCCAGUUACGUUGUGAUGUUUGAUAGCACACAAGGUGUUCCUCCGGUAUUCGGGAGUUACAUAAUCUCAUAGUAAAAGGAACAUGUAUAAGUCAUGAAGAAAGCAAUAGCAAUAAAACUAAAUGAUCAUUAUGCUAAGCUAACAGAUGGGUCUUGUCCAUCACAUCAUUCUCUAAUGAUGUGAUCCCGUUCAUCGAAUGACAACAUAUGUCUAUGGUUAGGAAACUUAACCAUCUUUGAUUAACGAGCUAGUCUUGUAGAGACAUACUAGGGACACUCUAUUUGUCUAUGUAUUCACACAUGUACUAAUUUUCCGGUUAAUAAAAUUCUAGCACUAAUAAUAAACAUUUAUCAUGAUAUAAGGAAAUAUAAAUAACAACUUUAUUAUUGCCUCUAAGGCAUAUCUCCUUCAACAGUGCCACAAAUAAGUUGCACUAUCAUCAUUAAACUUAUAUCAUUUGGCUUCAAUACUAUGAAUAUGUGUAUCACUACUAUCAAGAUUCAAUAAAAAUAGACCACUCAUCAAGGGUGCAUGACUAUAAAAGAUAUUACUCAUAUAAAUAGAACAACCAUUAUUCUCUGAUUUAAAUGAAUAACCGUCUCGCAUCAAACAAGAUCCAUAUAUAAUGUUCAUGCUUAACGCUCGCACCAAAUAACAAUUAUUCAGGUCUAAAACUAACCCCGAAGGUAGAUGUAGGGGUAGCAUGCCGACCGCGAUCUUAUCGACUUUGGAACCAUUUCCCACGCGCAUCGUUACCUCGUCCUUAGCUAAUCUUCGCUUAAUCCAUAGCCCCUGUUUCGAGUUGCAAAUAUGAGCAAUAGAACCAGUAUCAAAUACCCAGGCGCUACUGCGAGCAUUAGUAAGGUACACAUCAAUAACAUGUAUAUCAAAUAUAAUUUUCACUUUGCCAUCCUUCUUAUCCGCCAAAUACUUGGGGCAGUUCCGCUUCCAGUGACCAGUCCCUUUGCAGUAGAAGCACUCAGUCUCAGGCUUAGGUCCAGACUUGGGCUUCUUCACUUGAGCAAUAACUCUCUUGCCGUUCUUCUUGAAGUUCCCUUUCUUCCAUUUGCCCUUCUUCUUGAAACUAGUGGUCUUGUUGACCAUCAACACUUGAUGCUCCUUCUUGAUUUCUACCUCCACAGCCUUUAGUAUUGCGAAGAGCUCGGGAAUUGUCUUAUCCAUCCCUUGCAUAUUAUAGUUCAUCACGAAGCUCUUGUAGCUUGGUGGCAGUGAUUGAAGAACUUUGUCAAUGGCACUAUCAUUGGGAAGAUUAACUCCCAGUUGAGUCAAGUGGUUGUGGUACCCAGACAUUCUGAGUAUAUGUUCACUGACAGAACUAUUCUCCUCCAUUUUGUAGCUGUAGAACUUAUUGGAGACUUCAUAUCUCUCAAUCUGGGCAUUUGCUUGAAAUAUUAACUUCAACUGCUGGAACAUCUCAUAUGCUCCAUGAUGUUCAAAACAUCGUUAAAGUCCCAGUUCUAAGCCGUAAAGCAUGGCACACUGAACUAUCGAGUAGUCAUCAACACGCGUCUGUCAGGCAUUCACAAUGUCUGAAGUUGCUGGCGUGGGUGGUACACCUAGCGGUGCUUCCAGGACGUAAUUCUACAGUGCAGCAAUGAGGAUAAUCCUCAAGUUACGGACCCAGUCCAUGUAGUUGCUACCAUCAUCUUUCAACUUAGCAUUCUCUAGGAACACAUUAAAAUUCAAAGGAACAGUACCACGGGCCGUUUAUCUACAACAACAUAGACAUGCAAAAUACUAUCAGGUACUAAGUUCAUGAUAAAUUAAAGUUCAAUUAAUCAUAUUACUUAAGAACUCCCACUUACAUAGACAUCUCUCUAGUCAUCUAAAUGAUCAUGUGAUCCAUAUCAACUAAACCAUGUCCGAUCAUCACGUGAGAUGGAGUAGUCCUGAAUGGUGAACAUCACUAUGUUGAUCAUAUCUACUAUAUGAUUCACGCUUGACCUUUCGGUCUCAGUGUUCCGAGGCCAUAUCUGCAUAUGCUAGGCUCGUCAAGUUUAACCCGAGUAUUUUGCAUGUGCAAAACUGGCUUGCACCCAUUGUAUGUGAACAUAGAGCUUAUCACACCCGAUCAUCACGUGGUGUCUCAGCACGACGAACUGUAGCAACGGUGCAUACACAGGGAGAACACUUAUACCUUUAAAUUUAGUGAGAGAUCGUCUUAUAAUGCUACCACCGUACUAAGCAAAAUAAGAUGCAUAAAGGAUAAAUAUCACAUGCAAUCAGAAAAAGGCCACCAUCAUCUUGUGCCUUUGAUCUCCAUCUCCAAAGCACCAUCAUGAUCACCAUCGUCACCGGCUUGACACCUUGAUCUCCAUCGUAGUAUCAUUGUCGUCUCGCGAACUAUUGCUUCUACGACUAUCGCUACCACUUAGUGAUAAAGUAAAGCAAUUACAUGGCGAUUGCAUUUCAUACAACAAAGCGACAACCAUAUGGCUCCUGCCAGUUGCCGACAACUGUUACAAAACAUGAUCAUCUCAUACAACAAUUUAUAUCAUCGCGUCUUGACCAUAUCACGUCACAACAUGCCUUACAAAAACAAGUUAGACGUCCUCUACUUUGUUUUUGCAAGUUUUACAUGGCUGCUACGGGCUUCUUGCAAGAACCGUUCUUACCUACGCAUCAAAACCACAAUGAUUUUUCGUCAAGUGUGUUGUUUUAACCUUCAACAAGGACCGGCCGUAGUCAAACUCGAUUCAACUAAAGCUGGAGAAACAGACACCCACUAGUCACCUAUGUGCGAAGCACGUCGUUGAACCAGUCUCAUGAACGCGGUCAUGUAAUGUCGGUCUGGGCCGCUUGAUCCAACAAUACCGUUGAAUCAAAGUAAGACAUGCUGGUAAGCAGUAUGACUAUUAUCACCCACAACUCUUUGUGUUCUACUCGUGCAUAUAAGAUCUACUCAUAGACUUGGCUCGGAUGCCACAGUUAGGGACGUAGUAUUUCAAAAAAAUUACCUACGAACACGCAAGAUCUAUCUAGGAUAUGCAUAGCAACGAGAGGGGAGAGUGUGUCUACGUACCCUUGUAGAUCGAAAGCGGAAGCAUUUAGUAACGCGGUUGAUGUAGUCGAACAUCUUCGCAAUCCAACCGAUCCAAGUACCGAACGCACGGCACCUCCGCGAUCAGCACACGUUCAGUUCGAUGACGUCCCUCGAACUCUUGAUCCAGUUGAGGCCGAGGGAGAGUUCCGUCAGCACGACGGCGUGGUGAUUGUGAUGAUGAAGUUACCGACGCAGGGCUUCGCCUAAGCCCUAUAACGAUAUGACCGAGGUGUGUAACUGUGGAGGGGGCACCGCACACAGCUAAAAUAUCAACUUGUGUCUCUAUGGGGUGCCCCCUAGGCCACGUAUAUAAAGGAGGGGAGGGAAGAGGUGUCCGGCCCAAGGGGGCGCGCCAGGUGUGGGGAAUCCUACUAGGACUCCCCAGUCCAAGUAGGAUUCCCCUCCUCUUUCCUAUUCCUAGUAGGAGAAGGAGGGAAGGAGGAGGAGGAGAGAAGGAAAGGGGGGACGCCCCCCAACCCUAGUCCAAUUCGGUUUGGGCUAGGGGGCGCGCACCACUCCAUGGCCGGCCUCCUAUCUUCCACCACUAGGCCCAUGAGGCCCAAUAACUUCCCGGGGGGGUUCCGGUAACCCCCAGUACUCCGAAACUCAUCUGAAACGACCCGAACCAUUCCGGUGCCUGAAUGUAACCUUCCAAUAUAUGAAUCUUUAUGUCUCGACCAUUUCUAGACUCCUUGUCAUGUCCGUGAUCUCAUCCGGGACUCCGAACAACCUUCGGUCAUCAAAUCACAUAAACUCAUAAUACAAAUCGUCAUCGAACAUUAAGCGUGCGGACCCUACGGGUUCGAGAACUAUGUAGACAUGAUCGAGACACAUCUCCGGUCAAUAACCAAUAGCGGAACCUAGAUGCUCAUAUUGGUUUCUACAUAUUCUACGAAGAUCUUUAUCGGUCAAACCGCAUAACAACAUAUGUUGUUCCCUUUGUCAUCGGUAUGUUACUUGCCCGAGAUUCGAUCGUCGGUAUCUUCAUACCUAGUUCAAUCUCGUCACCGGCAAGUCUCUUUAUUCAUUUCGUAAUGCAUCAUCCCGUGACUAACUCAUUAUUCACGUUGCUUGCAAGGCUCAUAGUGAUGUGCAUUACCGAGAGGGCUCAAAGAUACCUCUUCGAUACACGAAGUGACAAAUCCUAAUCUUGAUCUAUGCCAACUCAACAAACACCAUCGGAGACACCUGUAGAGCAUCUUUAUAAUCACCCAGUUACGUUGUGAUGUUUGAUAGCACAAAAGGUGUUCCUCCGGUAUUCGGGAGUUGCAUAAUCUCAUAGUCUGAGGAACAUGUAUAAGUCAUGAAGAAAGCAAUAGUAGAAAAAACUAAACGAUCAUUAUGCUAAGGUAGCGGAUUGGUCUUGUCUAGCACAUCAUUCUCUAAUGAUGUGAUCCCGUUCAUCAAAUGACAACACAUGUCUAUGGUUAUGAAACUUAACCAUCUUUGAUUAAUGAGCUAGUCAAGUAGAGGCAUACUAGGGAUAUUCUGUUUGUCUAUGUAUUCAUACAUGUACUAAGUUUUCGGUUAAUACAUUUCUAGCAUGAAUAAUAAACAUUUAUUGUGAUAUAAGGAAAUACAAAUAACAACUUUAUUAUUGCCUCUAGGGCAUAUUUCCUUCAUGAGGCGUGUAACCGUGGAGGGGGGCACCGCACACGGCCAAGAGAAGACCUUGUGUGUCUUUGGGGUGUCCCCCUCCUACGUAUAUAAAGGGGGAGGAGAGGAGGCCGACCAUAGGGGGGCGCGCGCAAUAGGGGAGUCCAACUAGGAUUCCCAAUCCUAGUUGGAGUCCCCUUCCUUUCCAAGAGAGGUAGAGAGCGGGAAGGAGGGAGAGGGGUGAAGGAAAGAGGGGGCGCCGCCCCCUCCCUAGUCCAAUUCGGACUGGCCAUGGGCGCGCAGGGGGGGCUCCCUUGUUGCCCUGCUCUCCUUUCCACUAAGGCCCAUGAAGGCCCAUGAACUUCCCGGGGGGUCCGUUAACCCCCGGUACUCCGAAACUCAUCCGAAACAACCCGAACCAUUCUGGUGUCCAAAUGUAACCUUCCAAUAUAUGAAUAUUUACCUCUCAACCAUUUUGAGACUCCUCAUCAUGUCCGUGAUCUCAUCCGGGACUCCGAACAAACUUCGGUCAUCAAAUCACAUAACUCAUAAUACAAAUCGUCAUCGAACGUUAAGCGUGCCGACCCUACGGGUUCGAGAACUAUGUAGACAUGACCGAGACACAUCUCUGAUUAAUAACCAAUACCAGAACCUAGAUGCUCAUAUUGGUUCCUACAUAUUUUACGAAGAUAUUUAUCGAUCAAUCCGCAUAACAACAUACGUUGCUCCCUUUGUCAUCGGUAUGUUACUUGCCCGAGAUUCGAUCGUCGGUAUCAUCAUACCUAGUUCAAUCUCGUUACCGGCAAGUCUCUUUACUCAUUUCAUAAUGCAUCAUCCCGCAACUAACUCAUUAGUCGCAUUGCUUGCAAGGCUUACAGUGAUGAGCAUUACCGAGAGGGCCCAGAGAUACCUCUCCGAUACACGGAGUGACAAAUCCUAAUCUUGAUCUAUCCCAACUCAACAAACACCAUCAGAGACACCUGUAGAGCAUCUUUAUAAUCACCUAGUUACGUUGUGAUGUUUGAUAGCAUACAAGGUGUUCCUCCGGUAUUCGGGAGUUGCAUAAUCUCAUAGUCAGAGGAACAUGUAUAAGUCAUGAAGAAAGCAAUAGCAAUAAAACUAAACAAUCAUUAUGCUAAGCUAACGGAUGGGUCUUGUCGAUCACAUCAUUCUCUAAUGAUGUGAUCCCGUUCACCAAAUGACAACACAUGUCUAUGGUCAGGAAACUUAACCAUGUUUGAUUAAUGAGCUAGGCAAGUAGAGGCAUACUAGGGACACUCAGUUUUGUCUAUGUAUUCACACAUGUACUAAGUUUUCGGUUAGUACAAUUCUAGCAUGAAUAAUAAACAUUUAUCAUGAUAUAAGGAAAUAUAAAUAACAACUUUAUUUUUGCCUCUAGGGCAUAUUUCCUUCAUCUCAGCGGCGAGACGGUCGGCUUCAGUCUGAGACAUGGUGUUGACGAAAACGACGCGGAUGUAGAGGAAGUAGCUGAUCGGAGGCGAGCAGUCGCGUAGUCUCUUCCCAAAAACCUAUUUACCCCUCUCCCGUACAGGGACUGGAGGGGCGGGUUUUCUGAGACCUGCUCUCCCGUCGACCAUGCAUGAGACGGACGGGAUGGAGUCACCGGCGGCAGCAACAACAAAGGAACGACGGUGGGCAGUGCGCGUGGAGCAGAUGUGAUCUGUUCAUGGCGGUUAUGGUUAGGAGACACCUGAUGACCCACAAGUGUAGGGGAUCUAUCAUAUUUCUUUUGAUAAGUAAGAGUGUCUAACCCAACGAGGAGCAGAAGGAAAUGAUAAGCGAUUUUCAGCAAUGUAUUCUCUGCAAGCACUGAAAUUAUAGGUAAUAGAUAGUUUUGUGAUAAGAUAAUUUGUAACGAGCAACAAGUAACAAAAGUAAAUAAAGUGCAGCAAGGUGCCCCAAUCCUUUUUGUAGCAAAGGACAAGCCUGGACAAACUCUUAUAUAGAAUAAAGUGCUCCCGAGGACACAUGGGAAUUAUCGUCAAGCUAGUUUUCAUCAUGUUCAUAUGAUUCGCGUUUGGUACUUUGAUAAUUUGAUAUGUGUGUGGACCGGUGCUUGGGUGCUGUCCUUACUUGGACAAGCAUCCCACUUAUGAUUAACCCCCAUUGCAAGCAUCCGCAACUACAACAUAAGUAUUAAGGUAAACCUAACCAUAGCAUGAAACAUAUGGAUCCAAAUCAGCCCCUUACGAAGCAACGCAUAAACUAGGGUUUAAGCUUAUGUCACUCUAGCAACCCAUCAUCUACUUAUUACUUCCCAAUGCCUUCCUCUAGGCCCAAAUAAUGGUGAAGUUUCAUGUAGUCGACGUUCACAUAACACCACUAGAGGAGAGACAACAUACAUCUCAUUAAAAUAUCGAACGAGUACCAAAUUCACAUGACUACUAAUAGCAAGACUUCUCCCAUGUCCUCAGGAAUAAACGUAACUACUCACAAAGCAUAUUCAUGUCCACAAUCAGAGGGGUAUUAAUAUGCAUAUAGGAUCUGAACAUAUGAUCUUCCACCAAAUAAACCGGCUAGCAUCAACUACAAGGAGUAAUCAACACUACUAGCAACCUACAGGUACCAACCCUAGACUUAGAGACAAGAAUUGGAUACAAGAGAUGAACUAGGGUUUGAGAGGAGAUGGUGCUGGUGAAGAUGUUGAUGGAGAUUGGCCCCCUCCCGAUGAGAGGAGCAUUGGUGAUGACGAUGGCGAUGAUUUCCCCCUCCCGGAGGGAAGUGUCCCCGGCAGAACAGCUCGUGGCGGUGGAGUCUCGUCCCGAAAGCUUGCUUAUGAUUUUUUCCUCAACGAAAGACUCCAUAUAGCAUAAGAUGGGCAUAGGAGGGCCACCAGGGGCCCACGAGGUAGGGGGCGCGCCCAGGGGGGUAGUGCGCGCCCCCCACCCUCGUGGCUGCUACCUCUUGAGCACUGCGUUGGUUUUCCCUUGAAGAGGAAAGGGUGAUGCAGUAGAGCAGCGUAAGUAUUUCCCUUAGUUUUUGAGAACCAAGGUAUCAAUCUCGUAGGAGGCCACGCACGAGUCCCUCGCACCUACACAAACAAAUAAACUCGUCGCAACCAAUGCGAUAAAGGGGUUGUCAAUCCCUUCACGGUCACCUACGAGAGUGAGAUCUGAUAGAUAUGAUAAGAUAAUAUUUUUGGUAUUUUUAUGAUAAAGAGAAAUAAAGAUGCAAGUAAAAUAAAUGGCAAAGGAAAUAACUAAGUAUUGGAAGAUUAAUAUGAUGGAAAAUAGACCCGGGGCCAUAGGUUUCACUAGAGGCUUCUCUCGAGAGCAUAAAUAUUACAGUGGGUGAACAAAUUACUGUUGAGCAAUUGACAGAAUUGAGCAUAGUUAUGAGAAUAUCUAGGUAUGAUCAUGUAUAUAUGCAUCAUGUCUGAGACAAGUAGACCGACUCCUGCCUACAUCUACUACUAUUACUCCACACAUCGACCGCUAUCCAGCAUGCAUCUAGAGUAUUAAGUUCAAGAGAAUAGAGUAACGAUUUAAGCAAGAUGACAUGAUGUAGAGGGAUAAACUCAUGCAAUAUGAUAUAAACCCCAUCUUGUUAUCCUCAAUGGCAACAAUACAAUACGUGCCUUGCUGCCCCUACUGUCACUGGGAAAGGACACCGCAAGACUGAACCGAGAGCUAAGCACUUCUCCCAUUGCAAGAAAGAUCAAUCUAGUAGGUCAAACCAAACUGAUAAUUCAAAUGCAAAGAUAACCAAUCAUACAUAAAAGAAUUCAGAGAAUAUUCAAAUAUUGUUCAUAGAUAAACUUGAUCAUAAACCCACAAUUCAUCAGUCUCAACAAACACACCGCAAAAGAAGAUUACAUCGAAUAGAUCUCCACAAGAGAGGGGGAGAACUUUGUAUUGAGAUCCAAAAAGAGAGAAGCCAUCUAGCUAAUAACUAUGGACCCAUAGGUCUGAAGUAAACUACUCACACUUCAUCGGAGAGGCUAUGGUGUUGAUGUAGAAGCCCACCAUGAUCGAUACCCCCUCCGGCGGAGCUACAGAAAGGGCCCCAAGAUGGGAUCUCGUGGAUACAGAAAGUUAUGGUGGUGGAAUUAGGGUUUUUGGCUCCGUAUCUGGUAGUUUGGGGGUAUGUAGGUAUAUAUAGGAGGAAGGAGUACGUCGGUGGAGCAACAUGGGCCCCACGAGGGUGGAGGGCGCGCCUAGGGGGUAGACACGCCCCUACCUCGUGCCUUCCUGGUUGAUUGCUUGAUGUAGGGUCCAAGUCCUCUGGAUCAUGUUCAUUCUGAAAAUCACGUUCCCGAAGGUUUCAUUCGGUUUGGACUCCGUUUGAUAUUCUUUUUCUGCGAAACUCUGAAAUAGGCAAAAAAACAGCAAUUCUGGGUUGGGCCUCUGGUUAAUAGGUUAGUCCCAAAAAUAAUAUAAAAGUGUAUAAUAAAGCCCAAUAAUGUCCAAAACAGGAUACAAUAUAGCAUGGAACAAUAAAAAAUUAUAGAUACGUUGGAGACGUAUCAAGCAUCCCCAAGCUUAAUUCCUGCUCGUCCUCGAGUAGGUAAAUGAUAAAAACAGAAUUUUUGAUGUGGAAUGCUACUUGGCAUAAUUUCAAUGUAAUUCUCUUAAUUGUGGUAUGAAUAUUCAGAUCCGAAAGAUUCAAGACAAAAGUUCAAUAUUGACACAGAAAUAAUAAUACUUUGAGCAUACUAACUAAGCAAUUAUGUUUCUUCAAAAUAACAUGGCCAAAGAAAGUUAUCCCUACAAAAUCAUAUAGUCUGGCUAUGCUCCAUCUUCACCACAUAAAGUAUUUAAAUCAUGCACAACCCCGAUGACAAGCCAAGCAAUUGUUCCAUACUUUUGGUGUUCUCAAACUUUUUCAAUCUUCACGCAAUACAUGAGCGUGAGCCAUGGACAUAGCACUAUGUAGAAUAGAAUGGUGGUUGUGGAGAAGACAAAAAGGGAGAAGAUAGUCUCACAGGCUAUGGAGAUGCCCAUUAAUAGAUAUCAAUGUGAGUGAGUAGGGAUUGCCAGGCAACAGAUGCACUAGAGCUAUAAGUAUAUGAAAGCUCAACAAAAAGAACUAAGUGGGUGUGCAUCCAACUUGCUUGCUCACGAAGACCUAGGGCAUUUUGAGGAAGCCCAUCGUUGGAAUAUACAAGCCAAGUUCUAUAAUGAAAAAUUUCCACUAUUAUAUGAAAGUGAUAACAUAGGAGACUCUCUAUCAUGAAGAUCAUGGUGCUACUUUGAAGCACAAGUGUGGAAAAAGAAGGAUAAUAGUAUUUCCCCUUUUUAAUUAUCUACUCUUUUUUGGCCUUCUUUUUUUUAUUUGGCCUUUCUCUUUUUUUGGGACAAUACUCUAUGAAUGAUGAUCAUCACACUUCUAUUUAUUUACAACUCGAUACUAGAACAAAGUAAGACUCUAUAUGAAUGCCUCCGGCGGUAUACCGGGAUAGCAAUGAUGCAUGAGUGACUUAUAUGAAAGAAUUAUGAACGGUGGCUUUGCCACAACUAAAAUGUCAACUACAUGAUCAUGCGAAGCAAUAUGACAAUGAUGGAGCGUGUCAUAGUAAAUGGAACGGUGGAAAGUUGCAUGGCAAUAUAUCUCAGAAUGGCUAUGGAAAUGCCAUGAUAGGUAGGUAUUGUGGCUGUUUUGAGGAAGGUAUAUGGUGGGUGUAUGAUACCAGUGAAAGGUGCGCGGUAUUAGAGAGGCUAACAAUGGUGGAAGGGUGAGAGUGCGUAUAAUCCAUGGACUCAAGAUUAGUCAUAAAGAACUCACAUAUUUAUUGCAAAAAUCUAUUAGUUAUCGAAGCAAAGUACUAUGCGCAUGCUCCUAGGGGGAUAGAUUGGUAGGAAAAGACCAUCGCUCGUCCCCGACCGCCACUCAUAAGGAGGACAAUCAAUAAAUACAUCAUGUCCGACUUCUUAACAUAACGGUUCACCAUAUGUGCAUGCUACGGGAAUCACAAACUUCAACGCAAGCAUUUCUCAAAUUCAUAACUACUCAACUAGCACGACUCUAAUGUCACCAUCUCCAUAUCUCAAAACAAUUAUCAAGUUUCAAACUUCUCAUAGUAUUCAACACACUCAUAAGAAAAUUUUUUUAUUAAUCUUGAAUGACUAACAUAAUUACAGCAAAUUACCAUGUUGUUUUGUAGGACUCUCAAAAUAAUCUAAGUGAAGAAUGAGAGAACAAUGGUUUCUAUAAAACAAAUCUACCAACGUGCUCUAAAAGAUAUAAGUGAAGCACUAGAGCAAAAACUAUAUAACUCAAAAGAUAUAAGUGAAGCACAUAGAGUAUUCUAACAAUUUCCGAAUCAUGAGUCUCUCUCAAAAAGGUGUGUGAAGCAAUGAUGAUUGUGGAAAACUAACAAAUAAAGACUCAAAUAAUACAAGACGCUCCAAGCAAAACACAUAUCAUGUGCUAAAUAAAAAUAUAGCUCCAAGUAAAGUUACCGAUAGAAGUAGACGAAAGAGGGGAUGCCUUCCGGGGCAUCCCCAAGCUUUGGCUUUUAGGUGUCCUUAGAUUAUCUAGAGGUGCCAUGGGCAUCCCCAAUCUUAGGCUCUUGCCACUCCUUGUUCCAUAAUCCAUCAAAUCUUUUACCCAAAACUUUAAAACUUCACAACACAAAACUUAAAGUAGAAAAUCUCGUGAGCUCCGUUAGCGAAAGAAAACAAAACACCACUUCAAGGUACUGUAAUGAACUCAUUAUUUAUUUAUAUUGGUGUUAAACCUACUUUAUUACAAAUUCUCUAUGGUUUAUAAACUAUUUUACUAGCCAUAGAUUCAUUAAAAUAAGCAAACAACACACGAAAAACAGAAUCUGUCAAAAACAGAAUAGUCUGUAGUAAUCUGUAGCUAACGCAAGAUCUGGAACCCCAAAAAUUCUAAAAUAAAUUUCUGGACGUGAGGAAUUUAUCUAUUAAUCAUCUUCAAAAAGAAUUAACUAAACAUAACUUUCCAAAUACAAAUGGCAGAAGUUCUCGGGAGCGCUAAAGUUUCUGUUUUUUUACAGCAAGAUUAAAAAGACUUUCCCCAAGUCUCCCCAACGGUUCUACUUGGCACAAACACUAAUUAAACACAAAAAACACAACCAAAACAGAGGCUAGAUAAAUUAUUUAUUACUAAACAGGAUCAAAAAGCAAGGAAUAAAAAUAAAAUUGGGUUGCCUCCCAACAAGCGCUAUCGUUUAACGCCCCUAGCUAGGCAUAAAAGCGAGGAUAGAUCUAGGUAUUGUCAUCUUUGGAAGGCAAUCCAUAAGUGGCUCUCAUAAUAAAUUCAUAAGGUAAUUUAAUUUUCUUUCUAGGGAAGUGUUCCAUGCCUUUCCUUAACAGAAAUUGGAAUCUAAUAUUCCCUUCCUUCAUAUCAAUAAUUGCACCAAUCGUUCUAAGGAAAGGUCUACCAAGAAUAAUAGGACAUGAAGGAUUGCAAUCUAUGUCAAGAACAAUAAAAUCCACGGGCACAUAAUUCCUAUUUGCAACAAUAAGAACAUCAUUAAUUCUUCCCAUAGGUUUCUUAAUAGGGGAAUCCGCAAGGUGCAAGUUUAAAGAGCAAUCAUCAAAAUCACGGAAACCUAUCAAAUCACACAAAGUCUUUGGAAUCGUGGAAACACUAGCACCCAAAUCACACAAAGCAUAGCACUCAUGAUAUUUAAUCUUAGUUUUAAUAGUAUGUUCCCACUCAUCAUAAAGUUUUCUAGGGAUAGAAACUUCCAACUCAAGUUUUUCUUCAUAAGAUUGCAUCAAAGCAUCAACGAUGUGUUUGGUAAAGGCUUUCUUUUGACUAUAAGCAUGAGGAGAAUUUAGCACGGAUUGCAACAAGGAAAUACAAUCUAUCAAAGAGCAAUUAUCAUAAUUAAAUACCUUGAAAUCCAAAAUAGUGGGUUCAUUAAUAUUUAAAGUUUUGACUUCUUCAAUCCCACUUUUAACAAUUUUAGCAUCAAGAUCUAAAGACUCCGAAUUUUUGGAACGCUUUCUAGAUAAAGGUGGAUCAUAUUCAGUACCAUCAUUAUCAAGAUUCAUAUUACAAAACAAAGAUUUAAUAUGGGACACAUCAAUAACUUUUAGAUCUUCAUCUUUAUUAUCAUGGAAACUAGAAGAACACGCUUUUAUAAAGCAAUCUUUCUUAGCACGCAUCCUAGCGGUUCUUUCUUUGCACUCGUCAAUGGAAAUUCUCAUGGCUUUGAGAGACUCAUUAAUAUCAUGCUUAGGAGGAAUAGAUCUAAACUUCAAAGAAUCAACAUCAAGAUAAAUUCUAUCAACGUUCCUAGCCAACUCAUCAAUCUUAAGCACUUUUUCUUCAAUCAAAGCAUUGAAAUUCUUUUGUGAGGUAAUAAAUUCUUUAAUAUUAGAUUCAAAAUCAGAGGGUAUCUUAUUAAAAAUUCAAUAAGAAUUGUUGUAGGAAUUACCAUAAUUAUUAGAGGAAUUACUAGGAUACGGCCUAGGAUUAAAGUUUCCUCUAUACACAUUGUUAUCAAAAUUAUUCCUACCAACAAAAUUCACAUACAAAGAUUCAUUAUUAUUCUCAAUCAAAGUAGACAAAGCCAUAUCAUUAGGAUCAGAAGAAACACUUUUAUUAGCAAAUAAUUUCAUAAGUUCAUCCAUCUUACCACUCAAAACAUUAAUUUCUUCUAUCGCAUGCACUUUCUUAUUAGUAGAUCUUUCAGUGUGCCAUUGAGAAUAAUUAACCAUAAUAUUAUCUAGUACUUUAGUAGCUUCUCCUAAAGUGAUUUCCAUAAAAGUGCCUCCCGUGGCCGAAUCUAAAAGAUUUCUAGAAGCAAAAUUCAAUCCAGCAUAAUUUUUUGCAUAAUCAUCCACAAAUUCAAACCAUGUGUAGGGCAAUUACGUAUCAUUAAUUUUAGUCUCUCCCAAGCUUGUGCAACAUGUUCAUGAUCAAGUUGCUUAAAAUUCAUAAUAUCGUUUCUAAGAGAGAUGAUCUUAGCGGGAGGAAAAUACAUAGAGAUAAAAGCAUCUUUACACUUAUUCCACGAAUCAAUACUAUUUUUAGGCAAAGACGAAAACCAACCUUUAGCACGAUCUCUAAGCGAAAAAGGAAAUAGCUUCAAUUUAACAAUAUCAUUGUCCACAUCUUUCUUCUUUUGCAUAUCACACAAAUCAACGAAGUUGUUUAGAUGGGUAGCGGCAUCUUCACUAGGAAGGCCGGAAAACGGAUCUUUCAUGACAAGAUUUAGCAAAGCAGCAUUAAUUUCACAAGAUUCAGCAUCGGAAAGAGGAGCAAUCGGAGUGCUAAUAAAAUCAUUGUUGUUGGUAUUGGUAAAGUCACACAAUUUGGUAUUAUCUUGAGCCAUCGUGACAAGCAAGCAAUCCGACACACAAGCAAACAAGAAACGAGCAAAAAGAGGUGAAUAGAGAAAGAGAGGGAGGAUGGAGAGAGAGGGGGCGAAUAAAACAGCAACAGUGAAGUGGGGGAGAGGAAAACGAGACGCAAAUGGCAAAUAAUGUAAUGCGGGAGAUAAGGGUUUGUGAUGGGUACUUGGUAUGUUGACUUUCGCGUAGACUCCCCGGCAACGGCGCCAGAAAUCCUUCUUGCUACCUCUUGAGCACUGCGUUGGUUUUCCCUUGAAGAGGAAAGGGUGAUGCAGCAGAGCAGCGUAAGUAUUUCCCUCAGUUUUUGAGAACCAAGGUAUCAAUCCAGUAGGAGGCCACGCACGAGUUCCUCGCACCUACACAAACAAAUAAACUCCUCGCAACCAACGCGAUAAAGGGAUUGUCAAUCCCUUCACGGUCACCUACGAGAGUGAGAUCUGAUAGGUAUGAUAAGAUAAUAUUUUUGGUAUUUUUAUGAUAAAGAGAAAUAAAGAUGCAAGUAAAAUAAAUGGAAAAGGAAAUAACUAAGUAUUGGAAGAUUAAUAUGAUGGAAAAUAGACCCGGGGGCCAUAGGUUCCACUAGAGGCUUCUCUUGAGAGCAUAAAUAUUACAGUGGGUGAACAAAUUACUGUUGAGCAAUUGACAGAAUUGAGCAUAGUUAUGAGAAUAUCUAGGUAUGAUCAUGUAUAUACGCAUCACGUCCGAGACAAGUAGACCGACUCCUGCCUGCAUCUACUACUAUUACUCGACACAUCGACCGCUAUCCAGCAUGCAUCUAGAGUACUAAGUUCAAGAGAACAUAGUAACGCUUUAAGCAAGAUGACAUGAUGUAGAGGGAUAAACUCAUGCAAUAUGAUAUAAACCCCAUCUUGUUAUCCUCGAUGGCAACAAUACAAUACGUGCCUUGCUACCCCUACUGUCACUGGGAAAGGACACCGCAAGAUUGAACCCAAAGCUAAGCACUUAUCCCAUUGCAAGAAAGAUCAAUCUAGUAGGCCAAACCAAACUAAUAAUUCGAAGAGACUUGCAAAGAUAACCAAUCAUACAUAAAAUAAUUCAGAGAAGAUUCAAAUAUUGUUCAUAGAUAAACUUGAUCAUAAACCCACAAUUCAUCGGUCUCAACAAACACACCGCAAAAGAAGAUUACAUCGAAUAGAUCUCCACAAGAGAGGGGGAGAACUUUGUAUUGAGAUCCAAAAAGAGAGAAGAAGCCAUCUAGCUAAUAACUAUGGACCCGUAGGUCUGAUGUAAACUACUCACACUUCACCGGAGAGGCUAUGGUGUUGAUGUAGAAGCCCUCCAUGAUCGAUACCCCCUCCGGCGGAACUCCAGAAAAGGCCCCAAGUUGGGAUCUCGUGGAUACAGAAAGUUACGGCGGUGGAAUUAGGGUUUUUGGCUCUGUAUCUGGUAGUUUGGGGGUACGUAGGUAUAUAUAGGAGGAAGGAGUACAUCGAGGAGCAACGUGGGCCCCACGAGGGUGGAGGGCGCGUUUGGGGGGUAGGCGUGCCACCUACCUCUCGUGCCUUCCUGGUUGAUUGCUUGACGUAGGGUCCAAGUCCUCUGGAUCAUGUUCGUUCCGAAAAUCACGUUCCCGAAUGUUUCAUUCCGUUUGGACUCCGUUUGUUUUUCUUUUUCUGCGAAACUCUGAAAUAGGCAAAAAAACAGCAAUUCUGGGCUGGGCCUCUGGUUAUAGGUUAGUCCCAAAAAUAAUAUAAAAGUGUAUAACAAAGCCCAAUAAUGUCCAAAACAGGAUAUAAUAUAGCAUGGAACAAUAAAACAUUAUAGAUAUGUUGGAGAUGUAUCAGUGGCCAGGGUGUGGGCCCCCUCUGGAACUUCUUGCGCUCAGUAUUUUUUAUAUAUUCUGAAAAUAGCUUCUGUGAAGUUUCAGGACUUUUGGAGCUGUGCGGAAUAGGUCUCUAAUAUUUGCUCCUUUUCCAGCCCAGAAUCCCAGCUGUCGGCAUUCUCUCUCUUUAUGUAAACCUUGUAAAAUGAGAGAGAAUAGGCAUAAGUAUUGUGACAUAAUGUGUAAUAACAGCCCAUAAUGCAAUAAAUAUCGAUAUAAAAGCAUGAUGAAAAAUGGACGUAUCAACUCCCCCAAGCUUAGACCUCGCUUGUCCUCAAGCGAAAGCCGAAUCAAAAAAUAUGUCAUGGAUCAUCCAAUUAGCCAUAUAUACCAGGAUCCUUCCAACAUAUUGUGCUUGCCAAAAGAUAAAAUGUAACAAGGAAAGGUGAAGAUCACCAUGACUCUUAUGUAAGGUAGGAGAUAAAAGUAAAAGAUAGGCCCUUCGCAGAGGGAAGCAGAGGUUGUCAUGCGCUUUUAUGGUUGGAUGCACAAAAUCUUAAUGCGAAAGAACGUCACUUUAUAUUGCCACUUGUGAUAUAGACCUUUAUUAUGCAGUCCGUCGCUUUUAUUUCUUCAACAUCACAAGAUCGUAUAAAGCUUAUUUCCUCUGCACCAAUCAAUCAUACAUAUUUAGAGAGAAAUUUUUAUUGCUUGCACCGAUGACAACUUACUUGAAGGAUCUUACUCAAUCCAUAGGUAGAUAUGGUGGACUGUCAUGGCAAAACUGGGUUUAGGGAUAUUUGGAAGCACAAGUAGUAUCUCUACUUGGUGCAAAGAAUUUGGCUAGCAUGAGGGGAAAGGCAAGCUCAAUCAUGUUGGAUGAUCCAUGACAAUAUAAUUUAUCUAAGAUGUAAGAAAACAUAGCCCAUUACGCUGUCUUCCUUAUCCAACGUCAACUCUUUAGCAUGUCAUGUUUUAAUGAGUGCUCACAAUCAUAAAAGAUGUCCAAGAUAGUGUAUUUAUAUGUAAAGACCUCUCUUUCUUUAUUACUUCCUAUUAAUUGCAACGAUGACCAAAACUAUGUUUGUCAACUCUCAACAACUUUUAUUCAUCUUACUCUUUAUAUGUGAGCUCAUUACUCUCCAUAAGAUCCAUAUGAUCUCUUUUAUUUCUUUUUAUUCUUUCCAUUUUCUUUUAUUCACUCAAGAUCAUAGAAAGAUAAUCAACCCCUUGACUCAACACUAAUCAUUAUUAUAUAGCUCACUGACUCAAUUACAUAGAGGGAUCAUAAAGCAAAACUCAAAACUAGAUCAUACCAAAAACUUUAUUCUACUAGAUCAAGAUAUUACUAAAAGGAUCGAACUAAGGAAAAACGGUAAAGAUAGGAGUGUGAUGAUGAUACAAUACUGGGGCACCUCCCCCAAGCUUGGCAGUUGCCAAGGGGAGUGCCCAUACCCAUACGAUUAUGUCUCCUUUGUUGGUGAAGAAGAUGGUGGUGAUGAUGAGGUAGGCUUGUCGUCCAUCUUCCAAGGCAUAGGCUCACCAUCAUAGAAGGAUGAACGAGUCUCCGGGAUCCGCAAAUCUGCAGCCAAACUCAUCCUCUUGAAUCUAUAUUCAUACUCAUAGUUUUGGUUUUGUAGGUCAUUGAUUUGGGCUUGUAGGUGCUCGAUCUUCUUGUGAAGCUUGAAGAUGGUCUCCCCAAUGUUCUUAGCAUUUAGCUUGUGGUUGUUGGUGAACUCCGCGAUCAUCAUAUGGUUGGCGUUGAGUCCGCGUUCCACUAUCUCCUGGCACUUGAAAACUUGUCGCUCCAUUGCCUCGAGCCUUGUCUCCACGCUUCCGGUCCUCCUUGGUCCCUCAACAUCGCUGAUGUGCAGCACCCCCUCAUGCAUCUCAAUGGUCUGAGGGUGUUGCAGCACUUCCGCGAGGUAGGGGUUCAUGACAUUCUCGAAAAACUUGUCCUUGGGGGAACUUGGAGACGUCAUGAUGAUCUAGAUCUGUCAGAAAAACAGCUCAAAACAAGAAUAGAGGACAAUUUCAUGAUACAGGAGUCAAAAACUUUGGGAGAUUAUACAAUGAGUUUUUACCGACCAAAAUACGUAACGUGCAAGCAAACGGAGUCCGGAGAGCGCACGAGGUGCCCACGAGGCAGGGGGCGCGCCCAGGGGUAGGGCGCGCCCUCCACCCUCGUGUCCUUCCUGGACUGCUUCUUAUUUUUCUAUUUUUCUAAAUAUUCCAAAACGUAGAAAAAUUGCCAUUAGAACUAUUUUGGAGUCGGUUUACUUAUCGUACCACAUACCUAUUCCUUUUCGGAGUCUGAAAUGUUCUGGAAAGUGUCCCUUAUGUAUUCCUCCGGGGUUACAGUUUCAAUAACAUUGGUUUCAACAUUUAUAGGAUUACCUGAGAUAUAAUGUUUGAUUCUUUGACCGUUCACCACCUUCGGAUUUGUGCCUUCGAAGUUGUUGAUUUUUAUAGCGCCGGAACAAUAGACCUCCUCGAUAACGUAAGGACCUUCCCAUUUAGAGAGAAGUUUUCCUGCAAAAAAUCUUAAGCGAGAGUUUUAUAACAAUACAUAAUCACCUACAUUAAACUCACAUUUUUGUAUCCUUUUGUCGUGCCAUCUUUUAACUUUUUCUUUAAACAAUUUGGCAUUCUCAUAGGCUUGGGUUCUCCAUUCAUCAAGUGAGCUAAUGUCAAAUAACCUUUUCUCACCGGCAAGUUUGAAAUCAUAAUUGAGCUCUUUAAUAGCCCAAUAAGCCUUAUGUUCUAGUUCGAGAGGUAAGUGACAUGCUUUUCCAUAAACCAUUUUAUACGGAGACAUACCCAUAGGAUUUUUAUAUGCAGUUCUAUAGGCCCAUAAUGCAUCAUCAAGUUUCUUGGACCAAUUCUUUCUAGAUCUAUUAACAGUCUUGUGCAAAAUUAAUUUGAGUUCUCUAUUACUCAAUUCUACUUGACCACUAGACUGUGGGUGAUAAGGAGAUGCAAUUCUAUGAUUAACAUCAUACUUAGCGAGCAUUUUACGGAAAGCACCAUGAAUAAAAUGUGAACCACCAUCAGUCAUUAAAUAUCUAGGUACUCCAAACCUCGGAAAAAUAACUUCUUUAAGCAUCUUAAUAGAGGUGUUAUGAUCAGCACUACUAGUUGGAAUAGCUUCUACCCACUUAGUAACGUAAUCAACAGCAACUAAAAUAUGCGUAUAUCCAUUAGAGGCAAGAAAAGGUCCCAUAUAAUCAAAGCCCCAAACAUCGAAUGGUUCAAUAACAAGUGAAUGAUUCAUAGGCAUUUCUUGAUGUCUACUAAUAUUACCAAUUCUUUGACAUUCAUCACAAGAUAAGACAAACUUACAGGCAUCCUUGAAGAGAGUAGGCCAAUAAAAACCAGAUUGCAAUACCUUAUGUGCAGUUCUAUCUCCAGCGUGGUGUCCUCCAUAAGCUUCGGAGUGGCACUUGCGUAGGAUCUAUUCCUGUUCAUGCUCAGGUACACAACGUCUAAUAACACCAUCUACUCCUUCUUUAUAAAGAUGUGGGUCAUCCCAAAAGUAAUGUCUUAAAUCAUAGAAAAACUUUUUCUUUUGCUGGUAUGUGAAACUAGGUGGUAUAAAUUUAGCAACGAUGUAAUUAGCAUAAUCAGCAUACCAUGGAGCAGUAUGAGAAGCGUUUAUGAUAUUUAAUUGUUCAUCAGGAAAGCUAUCAUCAAUAGGUAGUGGGUCAUCAAGAACAUUUUCUAACCUAGACAAGUUAUCUGCAACGGGGUUCUCAGCUCCCUUUCUAUCAAUAAUAUGCAAAUCAAAUUCUUGUAGCAAGAGAACCCAUCUAAUAAGUCUAGGUUUAGCAUCUUUCUUUUCCAUAAGAUAUUUAAUAGCAGCAUGAUCAGUGUGAACAGUUACUUUAGAAUCAACAAUAUAAGGUCUGAACUUAUCACAAGCAAAUACAACUGCUAAAAAUUCCUUUUUCAGUAGUAGCAUAAUUUCUCUAGGCAUUGUCUAGAGUUUUACUAGCAUAUUAAAUAACAUUUAAUUUCUUAUCAACUCUUUGCCCUAGAACAGCACCUACAGCAAAAUCGCUAGCUUCACAGAUAAUUUCAAAAGGUAAAUUCCAAUCGGGUGGCUGAACAAUAGGUGCAGAGAUUAAUGCUUUCUUAAGUAUUUCAAAUGCUUCUACACAAUCAUCAUCGAAGACGAAUGGUAUAUCUUUUUGUAAUAAAUUAGUCAGAGGCCGGGAAAUUUUUGAGAAGUCCUUAAUGAACCUCCUAUAAAAGCCGACAUGACCCAGGAAACUUCUUAUACCUUUGAUGUCCUUGGGACACGACAUAUUUUCAAUAGCAUCAACUUUAGCUUUAUCAACUUCAAUGCCCCUUUCAGAAAUUUUGUGCCCCAAGACAAUACCUUCAUUAACCAUAAAGUGGCACUUCUCCCAAUUCAAGACAAGGUUAGUUUCUUCACAUCUCUGCAAAACUCGAUCAAGGUUGCUUAAGCAAUCAUCAAAAGAGGAUCCAUAAACGGAGAAAUCGUCCAUGAAAACCUCACAAAUCUUUUCAAAAAAGUCAGAGAAUAUAGCCAUCGUGCAUCUUUGAAAGGUAGCAGGUGCAUUACAUAAACCAAAAGGCAUACGUCUAUAAGCAAAAGUACCAAAAGCACAAGUAAAAGUGGUCUUUGAUUGAUCAUCAGCUGACACAGGUAUUUGAGAGAAACCAGAAUAACCAUCUAGAAAGCAAAAAUGUGUAUGCUUGGAUAAUCUUUCUAGCAUUUGAUUAAUGAAAGGUAAGGGGUAAUGAUCUUUUUUAGUAGCCUUAUUUAAUUUGCAGAAAUCAAUUACCAUCCUAUAACAUGUAAUAAUUCUUUGCGGAAUCAAUUCAUCUUUAUCAUUAGGAACGACGGUAAUACCUCCCUUCUUAGGAACACAAUGGACAUGACUUACCCACUGACUAUCAGCAACGGGAUAAAUUAUACCUGCCUCAAGGAGCUUUAGUAUUUCUUUUCUUACCACUUCUUUCAUCUUAGGAUUCAGCCGUCAUUGGUGAUCAAUAACUGGUUUGGCAUCUUUCUCUGAAUUUAUUUUGUGUUGACAUAGAGUGGGACUAAUGCCCUUAAGAUCAUCAAGAGUAUAUCCGAUAGAAGCACGGUCCUUCUUCAGAGUUUUCAAUAAUUUUUCUUCCUCCUUCUCUGAAAGGUUAGCACUAAUAAUAACAUGAUAUAUCUUCUUUUCAUCAAGAUAAGCAUAUUUAACAGUAUCAGGCAAUGGUUUAAGCUCAAACACGGGAUCACCCUUGGGUGGAGGAGGAUCCCCUAAGAUUUUAACAGGCAAGUUGUGUUUCAGAAUAGGUCCCUGUUUAAAGAACACUUCAUCUAUUUCCCUUCUUUCAUUCAUAAACAUAUCAUUUUCAUGGUCUAGCAAAUAUUGUUCUAAAGGAUCACUAGGAGGUACGGCAAAGAAGCAAGACCAAUAAUUUCAUCUUUACUAGGCAAUUCCUCUUCAUGGUGUUGUCUACGAAAUUUAGAAAAGUGAACUCAUGAGACAUAUCACCUAAACCAAUAGUAACAACAUCCUUUUCGCAGUCUAGCCUAGCAUUAACAGUGUUUAAGAAGGGUCUACCAAAUAUAAUGGGACAAAAGCUAUCUUGUGGGGAACCGAGAACAAGAAAAUCAGCAAGAUAUUUAGUUUUCCCACACAAGACUUCAACAUCUCUAACAAUCCCAAUUGGUGAAAUAGUAUCUCUAUUGGCAAGUUUAAUUGUGACAUCAAUAUCUUCUAACUCAGUAGGUGCAAUAUCAUGCAUAAUUUCUUUGUAUAAGUCAAUAGGUAUUGCACUAGCACUAGCACCCUUAUCACACAAGCCAUGAUAACAAUGAUCUCCUAUUUUAACAGAAAUAACAGGCAUGCCUACCACAGGUAUAUGUUUAUCUUUAGCACAAGGUUUAGCAAUUCUAGCAGUUUCAUCACAGAAAUAAAUAACAUGCCUGAGGGAGUCCUGGAUUAGGGGGUGUUCGUAUAGCCGAACUAUACCUUUAAGCCGAACUCCUGGACUAUGAAGAUACAAGAUUGAAGACUCCGUCCCGUGUCCGGAAGGGACUUUCCUUGGCGUGGAAGGCAAGCUUGGCGAUACGGAUGUUCAGAUCUCCUACCAUUGUAACUGAGUCUAUGUAACCCUAACCCUCUCCGGUGUCUAUAUAAACCGGAGGGUUUUAGUCCGUAGGACAACAUACACAUCAACAAUCAUACCAUAGGCUAGCUUCUAGGGUUUAAGCUCUCUGAUCUCGUGGUAGAUGUACCCAUAUCAUCAAUAUUAAUCAAGCAGGACGUAGGGUUUUACCUCCAUCGAGAGGGCCUGAACCUGGGUAAAACUUCGUGUCCCUUGCCUCCUGUUACCAUCCGGCCUAGACGCACAGUUCGGGACCCCCUACCCGAUAUCCGCCGGUUUUGACACCGACAUUGGUGCUUUCAUUGAGAGUUCCUCUGUGCCGUCGCUGUCAGGCCCGAUGGCUCCUACGAUCAUCAAUGGCGAUGCAGUCCAGGGUGAGACCUUCCUCCCCGGACAGAUCUUUGUCUUUGGCGGCUUCGCACUGCGGGCCAAUUCACUUGGCCAUCUAGAGCAGAUCGAAAGCUACGCCCCUGGCCGUCAGGUCAGAUUCAGAAAUUUAAACUACACGGCUGACAUCCGCGGGGACUUGAUCUUCGACGGACUCGAACCACUGCCGAGCGCGCCGCACUGUCACGACGAGCAUGAUCUAGCUCUGCCGCCGAAUAGUGCCCUGGAGGCCGCACCCGCAUCGGCUCUGACCCUUUGUUUGGAGCCAACUGCGCCGAUCGAGGAUGGGCGGUUGGACGCCACCUCGGGGGUUGUGAUCCCAAUGGCGGUUGAGCCGAACACCACCCUCGUACUCUGCGAGACUCAUGCCUCCACGGAGCCGGAUUCUUCUCCGAACUCCGAACCCUCCGUGCCCCUGCCGAUCGAAUCUUAUUGGGCGCCGAUCAUGGAGUUCACGGCCGCGGACGUCUUUCAGCACUCGCCUUUCGGCGAUAUCCUGAAGUCACCGAAGUCUCUCUCUUUAUCAGGAGAGCCCUGGCCGGACUACGGUCAAGCGUGCCCGGAGUAACCUACAACAAGACCGCCUGGCACGUUCCGAGCAGGCGUAGCAAUGCGGCCCCAACCCCAACCCUAGCAAAAAGGCGACGCCAGUACUUCGCGUACAUAAUUACGCUCUAGAAAUACCAUGGACAUAGGGGGAGGGGCACCAUCACGGCACGCCCAAAACACGGCUUAAACCGCACCAGGGGCUGCCGAUUUUUUACUUUUCUCUUACUUCCAGGACUCUACUCUUCGGAAGGCCUAUUCGGCAGUUCAAUUGCCGCACAAUCGAUGCAAGAACCAGGGAAGAAGACAAGCCAUGCCGCAUUACAGAAAUCCCAGGUGGUCUCUAUCACGAGCAGCAUACCUAUUUCGCAUACUAUUCCGCAGCUUGCCCCUGGAGCAGACAUGUUAAAUAGUCCAACUUUUCGUUUAUCGCAUUACUUGUAUCGUUCUGCUUUGAUCACAUCUAUUUUUCAUAAACAAUGCAUAGCUUUUGUCUAUUUUUGCACUAUAUUUUUAUAAAUAAAUGUUCCUUAACGACAUGUUGCACCCGUACAACUUGGUACGACCAAAAUACGCCAGGGGCUUUUAGCAUCCCUCAAUAUGGUGUGAGAAGUCCGAACACUUUCACAAGUGCGGCACCCCAAACUUAUAGCAUUAUAUGCAUCGGCUCUGAAUCAUGUCUUGGGUCAAUAGUUGGGUUUGCCCGGCUCCUAUGUUUUGGUGCCUUACGUUCCGCUAUAUCGGCUAAGGUAGCACUAGGAGAACCACUGUGAUUGUGCCCCAGUUGAGCUAGGACAAGCACCUCAGUGGAGAAAGCUAAAACUGACUGUCAUGAUGAAGCGAGAGCUGGUCGUUGUUCGAGAGGUUUUUUUGAGUCCCUAAAGACUUAUGCCGCUUAGGGCGACGAGUCGGCUCUGUCCGGCCAAGGCGUGGAUAGCGCCCUGAACUCGGUCUUCCAAAUACUAGGGGCUUCACCGAAAUUUAAAAUUAUAGAAUUAUAUGGCUAAGUGAGAGUGUUCACGCAUUAUAGUCCGAUUGCCUCGUUCGUCGGGCUGAGUGCCUCCCUCGACGAACCCAACCAUGGGAAAAAGAGCGCCCAGAUUUAUCCCCGAACACCCCAGCACUAGUGGCAAGGGGGCAGAAGCCGACGAUUCACCAUCUCUCAGUAUUGAUAAAUAGCCGCAGAGAAGGUAAUAUUUUAAAUUCAAGCAGCAUUGCUCAGCGCAUAUGAACAAGUUUUCAGCGCACAGGACACAAACGAGCGAGUUUUAAUCAAAAAUUACAUCCCUAGUACAUUCAUCCGCCACAAGGCGGGCACCCUUCAGAACAUCCUUAUAGUAAUUUUCGGGCUUGCGAUGCUCCUUCCCCGCUGGCGGCCCGUCCUUCACAAGCUUCUCCGCAUCCAGCCUGCCCCAGUGCACCUUAGCACGGGCAAAGGCCCUACGGGCACCUUCAAUACAGACAGAGCGCUUGAUGACUUCGAGCCUUGGACAGGCCUCCACCAGCCACCGCACCAGCCCGAAAUAGCUCCCAAGCAGAGCCUCUCCAGGCCACAGUCGAACUAGGAGGCCCUUCAUGGCCUGUUCGGCCACCUUGUGGAGCUCGACCAGCUGCUUCAGCUGGUCGCUCAGGGGCACGGGGUGUGCGGCCUCAGCAUACUGAGACCAGAACACCUUCUCUGUUGAGCUGCCCUCCUCGGCUCGAUAGAAUGCGGCGGCAUCGGAUACACUCCGGGGAAGAUCUGCAAAUGCCCCUGGAGAGCUCCGGAUUCGGGUAAGUAUCAAGUAACUCACGUUUAUGUGUUUACUUUGCAUAAAGAAUGCCUUACCCGCUGCUAUUUUCUUCACCUCAUCCAACUCCUGGAGGGUCUUCUGGGAUUCGGCCUUGGCAGACUUAGCAUUUUCAAUAGCCGCCGCAAGCUCGGACGCUCGCGUCUUCGACUCAAGCUCCAAACUCUCAUGUUUCUUCAUGAGAACCUGGAGCUCUUGCCGCACCUUGCCAACCUCGGCCUCAUACCUCUCCCGGUCGGUGCGCUCCACGGCCGCACUCUUCUCGGCCUCGAGCAGCGCUUGCUUAAGGGUCGCCACCUCAGAUGUGGCCCCUACAAUAGACAUGUUAAUCCUGUCAUUUCUUGCAAUUGCACCUUUUUCAUAUACAUAUUCAACCAAGGUAUUUCUUACCUUCCUUCUCCUCGAGCUGCUUCUUGGCACGCCCGAGCUCUUGCCCGGACUUCUCGAGGCUCUUCUUCAGCGUGUCCACUUCCGCAGUGAGUACGGCGGACGCCAGCAGAGAAGCCUGCACACGCAUAUUGACUCCUUUUGUUAGACUCCUGCGAAUUUUUUGAUCCUCUAUUCGGCUUUUCUUCCCAAACUCCCAACAGAGCAUCAAGGGCUACUGUCUAUGCGGUAAUAUUAUUUACACAUCAUUUACUUACCUCAAAGCCUGUCAAAAGGCUAGUACAAGCUUCAGUCAGUCUGCUCUUGGUGGACUGAACCUUCUGGGCCACCGCACUCAUAAUAGUGCAGUGCUCCUCGUCGAUGGAGGCGCCUUGGAGCGCCUCCAACAUAUUGUCCGGCGCCUCCGGAUGGACGGGGGUCGCCGGCACGGUGGACUUGCUCCUCUUGGAAGGAGGUCCUCCACCGGACUCCGGAACCCUUGAAGGUUCCGGAGCGGUGUCCGGCCUAAAGCCGGACUUGGAGCCCUGGGGGGUUUCAUCCCCUUUACUCCUGGAGUCCGGGAGGUCGCCUUGCGGUGCCUCCGGGACCACCUCCUCCCUGCUUGGAACCUGUUGGGACAACACCUCGGUGUCGUCCAUUGGGCGGCGGGAGGAAACCGUCGGAAGCGAGUUCACCUCCGACGAGUCCAGUGAGCCGCUCGACGACGCGUCGAGCCGGUCUUUGGGUGGGCUGCAUAAGCAUAUUCGACAUAAGGGAAAGCUGUGCAAUAAACGAAUACUAUGAAUUACUCCGGUAUCCGGAUACUUAUGAUUUUGCCAGGGGCUUGACCCUGGGCUGCCACUCCUCUUCGCCAUCGUCGCCGUCGUCGGAGUAGUCUGGAGGAAGAGUUUUCCCCUUCUUGGACCCUCCGGUCUCCUCAGAGAGGGCGGCCUUCCUUUUCUUCUCUCCUCCCGCUGGAGGGGGAGAGGUCUCUUCUUCUUCCUCCUCGUGUUCACGAGAGGAAGGCGCUUUGGGACCGUUGGAUGACGAAUCCGACACCUCCUGGCGCCGGGCACUCUUUCGAGUCCCCGUGGCCCUUUUCGUGGCCUUCUUCUCCGGCACCACAUAGGGCACCGGAACCAGCAGCUUCGCCAAGCAAGCGUCCGCUGGGCCUUCGGGCAAAGGAGACGGACAGUUGAUCUGUCCGGACGUCACCUCCCAAUCCUAUCAAAGAUAAUGGAAUUCAGAUCCCGCAUAGAGUCAAACUAUGAAAAACUGAUACCCUGUAAAAGGACAAAGACAGCUUACCGCAUGAGCGUGAUGCUGAGUACUGAAUCCGCGAUCCUCAGCAGCGGAUGCGGGAGCCUCGGCGCCCUUGAAAAGCAUCCUCCAGGCAUCUUUGUACGUCGUGUCGAAGAGCCUGUUUAGAGUUCGAUGUUGCGCCGGGUCGAACUCCCACAGGUUGAAGGCCCGUCGUUGACACGGGAGGAUCAGGCGGAUGAGCAUAACCUGGACUACGUUGACAAGCUUGAGCUUCUUGUCCACCAGGGUUUGGAUGCAUGUUUGGAGUCCGGUCAGCUCUCCUUUUUACCCCAAGACAGGCAUGUCUCCUUCCAGGAGGUGAGUCACGUAGGGGGGCCGGAUCGAAACUCAGGAGGUGCGACCCAUUCGGCGUCGCGCGGCUCAGUGACGUAAAACCACCCUGAUUGCCACCCCUUCAGGGUCUCCACAAAGGAGCCCUCGAGCCACAGUACGUUGGCCAUCUUGCCAACCAUGGCACCGCCGCACUCCGCCUGGCUGCCGUGCACCACCUUUGGCUUGACGUUGAAAGUCUUAAGCCAUAGGCCGAAAUGGGGGCGGAUGCGGAGGAACGCCUCACACACGAUGAUAAACACCGAGAUGUUGAGGACGAAGUUCGGGGCCAGAUCGUGGAAAUCCAGGCUGUAGUAGAAUAUGAGCCCCCGGAAAAAUGGAUGCAGAGGGAAGCCCAGUCCGCGGAGGAAAUGGGGGAGGAAUACCACCCUCUCAUGGGGCCUAGGAGUGGGGAUGAGCUGCCCUUUUCGGGAAGCCGGUGCACGAUGUCGCUAGCCAGAUAUCCGGCCUUCCUCAGCUUUUUGAUGUGUCCCUCCGUGACGGACAUGACUGGAGAAGGUUGAGGUGGUAGUGCGGACUUGGGCGGUGAAGCUCGAGUGCACAAGAAUGGAUAGGCGAAGGAGGAAGAAGGCGUGGUAUCCCCUUAUAUGGGUGGACGCAACUACAUGUCCCCACCAGCCUGGUGAAACUCGCUUAUCUCCAAGCGCCGUAAUCAAAGGCGCGGUUGGGUUACCCACGCCCGUAUUGAUGAGAAUCCUGGAAUAACGGGACACGCUCUCUGCUUUGACAAGACGUGCCAAGGAAACCGCCUCACAUAACGCGCUGAGGUGGGAUACUGAAACGACUCAGAUAAAGGCUUGGCCGUGGUGUGUCAUGCUACGGAAUACGUCAGCAGAUUAGAUUUGUGUAAAUAUUAUUCUCUCUAUGGCAAUAUGUGGAAACUUAUUUUGCAGAGCCGGACACUAUCUUUGUGUUUAAAAUCUUCUAUAAAGUACUUGGAGGAGGAACCCGCCUUGCAGUGCCGAAGACAAUCUGCGCGCUGGAAUUGUCGUCAUUGAAGCCUGGUUCAGGGGCUACUGAGGGAGUCCUGGAUUAGGGGGUGUUCGGAUAGCCGAACUAUACCUUCAAGCCGGACUACUGGACUAUGAAGAUACAAGAUUGAAGACUCCGUCUCGUGUCCGGAAGGGACUUUCCUUGGCGUGGAAGGCAAGCUUGGCGAUACGGAUGUUUAGAUCUCCUACCAUUGUAACCGACUCUAUGUAACCCUAACCCUCUUCAAUGUCUAUAUAAACCGGAGAGUUUUAGUCCGUAGGACAACAUACACAUCAACAAUCAUAACAUAGGCUAGCUUCUAGGGUUUAGCCUCUCUGAUCUCGUGGUAGAUCUACUCUUGUACUACCCAUAUCAUCAAUAUUAAUCAAGCAGGACGUAGGGUUUUACCUCCAUCGAGAGGGCCCGAACCUGGGUAAAACUUCGUGUCCCUUGCCUCCUGUUACCAUCCGGCCUAGACGCACAGUUCGGGACCCCCUACCCGAGAUCCGCCGGUUUUGACACCGACAAUGCCCAUCAAUAUUAUCAGCCAAGAGAUCCUUAACAAUAGCAAUAUUAGGUUCAACUUUAACUUGCUUAGGAGGUGUAUAGGUUCUAAUAUUGCUUUUACAAACCACAGUUGAAGCUUUAGCAUGAUCUUUUAUCCUAACAGGAAAAGGUGGUUUCUCAACAUAAGCAGUAGGAAUAAUAGGAUCAUUAUAAGUGAUAGUCUUUUCUUCAACUUUAAUAGGUGCAUCUACUUUUACUUCUAUGGGGGGAUGAUAUUUAAACCAUUUCUCCUUAGGGAGAUCAACAUGAGUAGCAAAAGAUUCACAGAAAGAAGCUACUAUCUCAGAGUCAAGUCCAUAUUUAGUGCUAAAUUUACGGAAAACAUCGGUAUCCAUAAAAGAUUUAACACAAUCAAACUAAGGUGUCAUACCUGACUCCUUACCUUCUUCGAGAUCCCAAUCUUCAGAGUUGCGUUUAAUUCUUUCCAAUAAAUCCCAUUUGAAUUCAAUAGUCUUCAUCAUAAAAGAGCGAGCACGAGAAGUAUCGAGCAUGGUGCGAUUGUUAUCACAAAGCAGAGCAUAAAAUUUUUGGACAAUCAUUUCUCUUGAGAGCUCAUGGUUGGGGCAUGAAUAUAACUUUGAUUUAAGCCUCCCCCAAGCUUGAGCGAUGCUUUCUCCUUCGCGAGGCCAAAAAUUAUAUAUAUAAUUACGAUCACGAUGAACAAGAUGCAUAGGAUAAAACUUCUGAUGAAAUUCCAAUUUCAAUCGUUUGUAGUUCCAUGAUCCCAUAUCAUCACAUAGCCUAUACCAUGUCAAUGCAUCUCCCGUCAAAGAUAAAGGGAAGACCUUCUUCUUGAUAACAUCAUCAGGCAUACCUGCAAGCUUAAAUAAUCCACAAACUUCAUCCACAUAUAUUAGGUGCUCAUCAGGAUGUAAUGUUCCAUCUCCUGCAAAAGGAUUAGCUAGCAAUUUUUCUAUCAUACCCGAAGAAAUUUCAAAGUAGACAUUUUCAUUUUCAGUAGGUUCAGUAGGUUGAGGAUCAACUCUUUGCUCUACUGGUCGGGGUGAAGAUACCCCGAACAAGCCACUCAAAGGAUUACUUUCCAUAGUAACAAGUGACAGUAAAUUUCAGCACGGUAUAUAAAUUUUUCUUACCAAAUUCCACCUACCAAAGGCGCUUCACUCCCCGGCAACGGUGCUAGAAAAGUGUCUUGAUGACCCACAAGUGUAGGGGAUCUAUCGUAGUCCUUUCAAUAAGUAAAAGUGUCUUGAUAACCCACAAGUGUAGGGGANNNNNNNNNNNNNNNNNNNNNNNNNNNNNNNNNNNNNNNNNNNNNNNNNNNNNNNNNNNNNNNNNNNNNNNNNNNNNNNNNNNNNNNNNNNNNNNNNNNNNNNNNNNNNNNNNNNNNNNNNNNNNNNNNNNNNNNNNNNNNNNNNNNNNNNNNNNNNNNNNNNNNNNNNNNNNNNNNNNNNNNNNNNNNNNNNNNNNNNNNNNNNNNNNNNNNNNNNNNNNNNNCCCUUGUUGCCCUCCUCUCCUUUCCACUAAGGCCCAUGAAGGCCCUUGAACUUCCCGGGGGGUCCGGUAACCCUCGGUACUCUAAAACUCAUCCGAAACAACCCAAACCAUUCCGGUGUCCGAAUGUAACCUUCCAAUAUAUGAAUCUUUACCUCUCAACCAUUUUGAGUCUCCUCGUCAUGUCCGUGAUCUCAUCCGGGACUCCGAACAAACUUCGGUCAUCAAAUCACAUAACUCAUAAUACAAAUCAUCAUCGAACGUUAAGCGUGCGGACCCUACGGGUUCGAGAACUAUGUAAACAUGACCGAGACACAUCUAAGCUCAAUAACCAAUAGCGGAACCUGGAUGCUCAUAUUGGUUCCUACAUAUUCUAUGAAGAUCUUUAUCGGUCAAACCGCAUAACAACAUAAGUUGCUCCCUUUGUCAUCGGUAUGUUACUUGCCCUAGAUUCGAUCGUCGGUAUCAUCAUACCUAGUUCAAUCUCGUUACCGGCAAGUCUCUUUACUCGUUCCAUAAUGCAUCAUCCCGCAACUAACUCAUUAGUCACAUUGCUUGCCAAGCUUAUAGUGAUGAGCAUUACCGAGAGGGCCCAGAGAUACCUCUGUGAUACACGGAGUGACAAAUCCUAAUCUUGAUCUAUGCCAACUCAACAAACACCAUCGGAGACACCUGUAGAGCAUCUUUAUAAUCACCCAGUUAUGUUGUGAUGUUUGAUAGCACACAAGGUGUUCCUCCGGUAUUCGGGAGUUGCGUAAUCUCAUAGUCAGAGGAACAUGUAUAAGUCAUGAAGAAAGCAAUAGAAAUAAAACUAAAUGAUCAUUAUGCUAAGCUAAUGGGUGGGUCUUGUCCAUCACAUCAUUCUCUAAUGAUGUGAUCCCGUUCAUGAAAUGACAACACAUGUCUAUGGUCAGGAAACUUAACCGUGUUUAAUUAAUGAGCUAGGCAAGUAGAGGCAUACUAGGGACACUCAGUUUUGUCUAUGUAUUCACACAUGUACUAAGUUUCCGGUUAAUACAAUUCUAGCAUGUAUAAUAAACAUUUAUCGUGAUAUAAGGAAAUAUAAAUAACAACUUUAUUUUUGCCUCUAGGGCAUAUUUCCUUCAUCUCAGCGGCGAGACGGUCGGCUUCGGUCUGAGACAUGGUGUUGACGAAAACGACGCGGACAUAGAGGAAGUAGCUGAUCGGAGGCGAGCAGUCGCGUAGUCGCUUCCCAAAAACCUAUUCACCCCUCUCCCGUACAGGAACUGGAGGGGCGGGGUUUCGGAGACCUGCUCUCCCGUCGACCAUGUACGAGACGGACGGGAUGGAGUCACCGGCGGCGACAGCAGCAAAGGAACGAUGAUGGGCAGUGCGCGUGGAGCAGAUGUGAUCUGUUCAUGGCAGCUAUGGUUAGGAGACACCUGAUGACCCACAAGUGUAGGGGAUCUAUCGUAGUCCUUUCGAUAAGUAAGAGUGUCAAACCCAACGAGGAGCAGAAGGAAAUGAUAAGCGGUUUUCAGCAAGGUAUUCUCUACAAACACUAAAAUUAUAGGUAAUAGAUAGUUUUGUGAUAAGAUAAUUUGUAACGAGCAACAAUUAACAAAAGUAAAUAAAGUGCAGCAAGGUGGCCCAAUCCUUUUUGUAGCAAAGGACAAGCCUGGACAAAGUCUUAUAUAGAAGAAAGCGCUCCCGAGGACACAUGGAAAUUAUCGUCAAGCUAGUUUUCAUCACGUUCAUAUGAUUCGCGUUCGGUACUUUGAUAAUUUGAUAUGUGGGUGGACCGGUGCUUGGGUGUUGUCCUUACUUGCACAAGCAUCCCACUUGUUAUUAACCGCCAUUGCAAGCAUCCGCAACUACAACAGAAGUAUUAAAGUAAACUUAACCAUAGCAUGAAACAUAUGGAUCCAAAUCAGCCCCUUACGAAGCAACGCAUAAACUAGGGUUUAAGCUUCUGUCACUCUAGCAACACAUCAUCUACUUAUUACUUCCCAAUGACUUCCUCUAGGCCCAAAUAAUGGUGAAGUGUCAUGUAGUCGACGUUCACAUAACACCACUAGAGGAGAGACAACAUACAUCUCAUCAAAAUAUCGAACGAAUACCAAAUUCACAUGACUACUAAUAGCAAGACUUCUCCCAUGUCCUCAGGAAAAAACGUAACUACUCACAAAGCAUAUUCAUGUUCAUAAUCAGAGGGGUAUUAAUAUGCAUGUAUGAUCUGAACAUAUGAUCUUCCACCAAAUAAACCGGCUAGCAUCAACUACAAGGAGUAAUCAACACUACUAGCAACCUACAGGUACCAAUCCCAGACUUAGAGACAAGAAUUGGAUACAAGAGAUGAAUUAGGGUUUGAGAGGAGAUGGUACUAGUGAAUAUGUUGAUGGAGAUUGGCCCCCUCCCGAUGAGAGGAGCAUUGGUGAUGACGGUGGCGAUGAUUUCCCCCUCCCGGAGGGAAGUGUCCCCGACAGAACAGCUCCGCCAGAGCCCUAGAUUGGUUCCGCCAAGGUUCCGCCUCGUGGCGGCGGAGUCUCGUCCCGAAAGCUUGCUUAUGAUUUUUUUCCUCAACCAAAGACUCCAUAUAGCAGAAGAUGGGCAUCUGAGGGCCACCAGGAGGCCCACGAUGCAGGGGGCGCGCCCAGGGGGGUAGGGCGCGCCCCCCACCCUCGUGGCCAGGGUGUGGGCCCCCUCUGGAACUUCUUGCGCUCAGUAUUUUUUAUAUAUUUUGAAAAUAGCUUCCGUGAAGUUUCAGGACUUUUGGAGAUGUGCAGAAUAGGUCUCUACUAUUUGCUCCUUUUCUAGCCUAGAAUCCCAGCUGCCGGCAUUCUCCCUCUUUAUGUAAACCUUGUAAAAUAAUAGAGAAUAUGCGUAAGUAUUGUGACAUAAUGUGUAAUAACAGCCCAUAAUGCAAUAAAUAUCGAUAUAAAAGCAUGAUGCAAAAUGGACGUAUCAACACCCCACACUUAUAUAGGCGCAACCGCGUGGAGAGACAUGGUUUCGACCCACGUCCGUGAUUGCCCAUGAUCAGACGUGUCAAAUCAUGGCCCAACUGUCAGAAAACUCUCUGUUACUGACUGGCAAAAAUAAGCACGUAGGUGUGAGCUCGGCGGCUCAUUCCCACAACCUGCAGCGCAUCGUGACGAGGCGUGGCCUGGCGAGGCGGGCGGCAUAUGAGGAGUGCGCGAGGGCCUCUUCUUUUCUCAAGAUCCAGUAGCAUGCUGAAGAGAAACCCUUACAAAGAGGUCCAACUCCUUCUCCACUAGCGGGGUGGGACUAAACUUCCAACUACACCUAGUUGAAGGAAAUAUGCCCUAGAGGCAAUAAUAAAGUUGUUAUUUAUAUUUCCUUAUAACAUGAUAAAUGUUUAUUAUUCAUGCUAGAAUUGUAUUAACCGGAAACUUAGUACAUGUGUGAAUACAUAGACAAACAGAGUGUCCCUAGUAUGCCUCUACUUGACUAGCUCGUUAAUCAAAGAUGGUUAAGUUUCCUAGCCAUAGACAUGUGUUGUCAUUUGAUGAACGGGAUCACAUCAUUAGAGAAUGAUGUGAUGGACUUGACCCAUCCAUUAGCUUAGCAUGAUGAUCGUUUAGUUUUUUGCUAUUGCUUUCUCCAUAACUAUACAUCUUUCCUAUAACCAUGAGAUCAUGCAACUCCCGAAUACCGGAGGAACACUUUGUGUGCUACCAAACGUCACAACAUAACUGGGUGAUUAUAAAGGUGCUCUACAGGUGUCUCCAAUGGUGUUUGUUGAGUUGGCAUGGAUCAAGAUUAGGAUUUGUCACUCCAAUUGUCGGAGAGGUAUCUGUGGGCCCUCUCGGUAAUGUACAUCAAAAUAAGCCUUGCAAGAAAUGUAGCUAAUGAGUUAGUUACGGGAUGUAGCAUUAUGGAACGAGUAAAGAGACUUGCUAGUAACGAGAUUGAACUAGGUAUUGAGAUACUGACGAUCGAAUCUCGGGCAAGUAACAUACCGAUGACAAAAGGAACAAUGUAUGUUGUUAUGCAGUUUGACCGAUAAAGAUCUUCAUAGAAUAUGUCGGAACCAAUAUGAGCAUACAGGUUCCGCUAUUGUUCAUUGACCAGAGACAUGUCUCGGUCAUGUCUACAUAGUUCUCGAACCCGUAGGGUCCGCAUGCUUAACGUUCGGUGACGAUCGGUAUUACGAGUUUAUGUGUUUUGAUGUACCGAUGGUAGUUCAGAGCCCCAGAUUUGAUCACAGACAUGACGAGGAGUCUCAAAAUGGUUGAGACGUAAAGAUCGAUAUAUUGGAAUUCUAUGUUUGGACAUCGGAAUGGUUCCGGGUGAAAUGGGGAGUAUAGCGGAACUCCCCGGGAGGUGUAUGGGCCUUAUUGGGCCUUAGUGGAAGAGAGGGAGAAGAAGCAAAGGAGCCCCCCCCCCAAGCCCAAUCCGAAUUGGGAGGGGGGCCGGCCCCCCUUUCCUUUCUUAUUCCUCCUCCUUCCUUCUCUCCUAAAACCAAACAAGGGAAGGGGGAAUCCUACUCACGGUGGGAGUAGGACUCCCUUGGGUGCGCCUAGAGAGGCCGGCCCCCUCCCCCUCGUCCACUCCUUCAUAUACGGGGGAGGGGGGCACCCCAUAGACACACAAGUUGAUCAUUGAUCUUUUAGCCGUGUGCGGUUCCCCCUCCACCAUAAUCCACCUCGGUUAUAUUGUAGUGGUGCUUAGGCGAAGCCCUGUUCCGGUAGCAUCAUCAUCACGUCAUCACGCCGUCGUGCUGACAAAACUCUCCCUCGAAGCUCUACUAGAUCGUGAGUUCGCGGGACAUCACCGAGCCGAACGCGUGCAGAUCAUGAAGGUGUCGUACCUUCGGUGCGAGAUCGGUCGAUCGUGAAGACGUAUGACUAUAUCAAUUGCGUUGUUAUAACGCUUCCGCUUACGGUCUACGAGGGUACGUAGACAAUACUCUCCCCUCUCGUUGCUAUGCAUCACCAUGAUCUUGCGUGUGCGUAGGAAUUUUUUUGAAAUUACUAUGUUCCCCAAUAGUGGCAACUGAGCCAGGUUUAUGCGUAGAUGUUAUAUGCACGAGUAGAACACAAAGGAGGUGUGGGCGUGGGUAUAUACAUAUUGCUUGCCGUCACUAGUUGAUUCUUGAUUCAACGGUAUUGUUGGAUGAAGCGGCCCAGACCGACAUUAUGCAUACGCUUACGCGAGACUGAUUCCACCGACGUGCUUCGCACACAAGUGGCUAGUGGGUGUCUAUUUCUCCAGCUUUAGUUGAAUCGGAUUCAAUGAACAGGGUUCUUUCUAAAGAUCAAAAAGCAAUCACUAUACUGCGUUGUGGUUUUUGAUGCGUAGGUAAGAACGGUUCUUACUCAGCCCGUAGUAGCCAUGUAAAACUUGCAACAACAAAGUAGAGGACAUCUAACUUGUUUUUGCAGGGCAUGUUGUGAUGUGAUAUGGUCAAGACAUGAUGCUAAAUUUUAUUGUAUGAGAUGAUCAUGUUUUGUAACGGAGUUAUCGGCAACUGGCAGAAGCCUUAUGGUUGUCUCUUUAUUGCAUAAGAUGCAAGCACCAUACAAUUGCUUUACUUGAUCGCUAUGCGAUAGCAAUAGUUGCAAAAGCAAUAGUUGGCGAGACGACCAUGUGACGACACGUUGAUAGAGAUCAAGAUGAUGGAGAUCAUGGUGGCAUGCCGGUGACGAUGGAGAUCAUGACGGUACUUUGGAGAUGGAGAUCAAAGGCACAAGAUGAUGAUGGCCAUAUCAUGUCACAUAUUUUGAUUACAUGUGAUGUUUAUCUUUUAUGCUUCUUAUUUUGCUUAGUACGGCGGUAGCAUUAUAAGAUGAUCUCUCACAAAAUUUCAAGCUAUAAGUGUUCUCCCUGAGUAUGCACCGUUGCGACAGUUCAUCGUGCUGAGACACCACAUGAUGAUCGGGUGUGAUAAGCUCUAUGUUCACAUACAACGGGUGCAAGCUAGUUUUGCACACGCGGAAUACUCGGGUUAAACUUGACAAGCCUAGCAUAUGCAGAUAUGGCCUCGGAACACUGGAGACCGAAAGGUCGAGCGUGAAUCAUAUAGUAGAUAUGAUCAACAUAGUGAUGUUCACCAUUGAAAACUACUCCAUCUCACGUGGUGAUCGGACAUGGUUUAGUUGAUUUGGAUCACGUGAUCAUUUAGAUGACUAGAGGGAUGUCUAUAUAAGUGGGAGUUCUUAAGUAAUAUGAUUAAUUGAACUUUAAUUUAUCGUGAACUUAGUCCUGAUAGUAUUUGCAAAAACUAUGUUGUAGAUCAAUAGCUCGCAAUGUAGCUCCCCGUUUAUUUUGAUAUGUUCCUAGAGAAAAACUAUGUUGAAAGGUGAUAGUAGCAAUGAUGCGGGCUAGGUCCGUGAUCUAAGGAUUAUCCUCAUUUCUGCACAGAAGAAUUAUGUCCUUGAUGCACCGCUAGGUGACAGACCUAUUGCAGGAGCAGAUGCAGAUGUUAUGAACGUUUGACAAGCUCGGUAUGAUGACUACUUGAUAGUUAGUGCACCAUGCUUUACGGCUCAGAACCGGGACUUCAAAAACGUUUUGAACGCCACGGAACAUAUAAGAUGUUCCAAGAGUUGAAACUAGUAUUUCAGACUAAUGCCCGUGUCGAGAGGUAUGAGACCUCUGACAGUACUUUGCCUACAAGAUGGAGGAGAAUAGCUCAACAAAUGAGCAUGUGCUCAGAUUGUCUAAGUACUACAAUUGCUUGAAUCAAGUGGGAGUUAAUCUUCCAGAUAAAAUAGUGGUUGACAAAGUUCUCUAGUCACUAUCACCAAGUUACUGGAACUUCGUGAUGAACUAUAAUAUGCAAGGGAUGACGAAAGUAAUUCCCACCCUCUUCACGAUGUUGAAAUCAGCGAAGGUAAAAAUCAAGAAAAGCAUCAAGUGUUGAUGGUUGACAAGACCACUAGUUUCAAGUAAAAGGGCAAGGGAAAGAAAGGGAACUUCAAGAAGAAUGGCAAGCAAGUUGCCACUCCCAUGAAGAAGCCCAAAGUUAGACCCAAGCCUAAAACUAAGUGCUUCUACUGCAAAGGAAAUGGUCACUGGAAGUGGAACUGCCCUAGAUACUUGGCGGAUAAGAAGGAUGUCAUAUUGAACAAAGGUAUAUUGGAUAUACAUGUUAUUGAUGUGUACUUUACUAGUGUUUAUAGCAACCCCUCGAUAUUUGAUACUGGUUUAGUUGCUAAGAGUAGUAACUCAAAACGGGAGUUGCAAAAUAAAUAGAGACUAGUUAAGGGCGAUGUGAUGAUGUGUGCUGGAACUGAUUCCAAGGUUGAUAAGAUCAACAUCAUACACUCCCUUUACCUUUGGUAUUAGUGUUGAACCUAAAAUAAAUGUUAUUUGGCAUUUGCGUUGAGCAUGAAUAUGAUUGGAUCAUGUUUGUUGCAGUACGGUUAUUCAUUUAAGUCAAAGAAUAAUUGUUGUUCUAAUUACAUGAAUAAAACCUUCUAUGGUCAUACACUCAAUAUAAAUGGUUUAUUGAAUCUCGAUCAUAGUGAUACACAUAUUCAUAAUAUUGAAGCCAAAAGAUGCAAAGUUAAAAUGAUAGUGCAACUUAUUUGUGGCACUACCGUUUAGGUCAUAUUGGUGUAAAGCGCAUAAAGAAUCUCCAUGCUGAUGGGCUUUUGGAAUCACUUGAUUAUGAAUCACUUGAUGCUUGCAAACCAUGCCUCAUGGGCAAGAUGACUAAGACUCCGUUCUCCGGAACAGUGGAGCGAGCAACUGACUUAUUGGAAAUAAUACAUACUGAUGUAUGCGGUCCGAUGAGUGUUGAGGCUCGUGGCGGGUAUCAUUAUUUUCUGACCUUCACAGAUGAUUUGAGAAAAUAUGGGUAUAUCUACUUGAUGAAACAUAAGUCUGAAACAUUUGAAAAGUUCAAAGAAUUUCAGAGUGAAGUGGAAAAUCAUCGUAAACAGAAAAUAAAGUUUCUACGAUCUGAUCGUGGAGACGAAUAUUUGAGUUACGAGUUUGGUCUUCAACUAAAACAACAUGGAAUAGUUUCACAAAUUCAUGCCACCUAGAACACCAUGGCAUAAUGGUGUGUCCAAACGUCAUAACCAUACUUUAUAGGAUAUAGUGCAAUCUAUGAUGUCUCUUACCAAUUUACCACUAUCGUUUUGGGGUUAUGCAUUAGAGACAGCUACAUUCACGUUAUAUAGGGCAUCGUCUAAUCCGUUGAGACGACACCGUAUGAACUAUGGUUUGGCUAGAAACCUAAGCUGUCGUUUCUUAAAGUUUGGGGUUGUGAUGCUUAUGUGAAAAAGUUUCAGCCUGAUAAGCUCAAACCCAAAUCGGAAAAGUGCGUCUUCAUAGGACACCCAAAAGAAACUGUUGGGUACACCUUCUAUCACAGAUCUGAAAGGCAAGAUCUUUGUUGCUAAGAGUGGAUCCUUUCUAGAGAAGAAGUUUCUCUCGAAAGAAGUUAGUGGGAGGAAUGUAGAACUUGACGAGGUAAUUGUACCUUCUCCCGAAUUGGAAAGUAGUUCAUCACAAAAAUCAAUUCUAGCAAUUUCUACGCCAAUUAGUGAGGAAGCUAAUGAUGAUGAUCAUGAAACUUCAGAUCAAGUUACUACCGAACCUCGUAGGACAACCAGAGUAUGGUCCGCACCAGAGUGGUACGGUAAUCCUUUCUGGAAGUCAUGUUACUAGACCAUGACGAACCUAUGAACUAUGAGGAAGCAAUGAUGAGCCCAGAUUCCGCAAAAUGGCUUAAGGCCAUGAAAUCUAAGAUGGGAUCCAUGUAUAAAGAACAAAUUAUGGACUUUGAUUGACUUGCCCAAUGAUUGGCGAGCCAUUGAGAAUAAAUGGAUCUUCAAGAGGAAGACGGACACUGAUAGUAGUGUUACUAUCUACAAAGCUCAAAUUUUCGCAAAAAGGUUUUCGACAAGUUCAAGGUGUUGACUACGAUGAGAUUUUCUCACUCGUUGUAAUGCUUAAGUCUGUCCAAAUCAUGUUAGCAAUUGCCACAUUUUAUGAAAUCUGGCAAACGGAUGUCAAAACUGCAUUCCUUAAUGGAUUUCUUAAAGAAGAGUUGUAUAUGAUACAACAAGAAAGUUUUGUCAAUCCUAAAGGUACUAACAAAGUGUGCAAGCUCCAGCGAUCCAUCUAUGGACUGGUGCAAGUAUCUCGGAGUUGGAAUACACGCUUCGAUGAGUUGAUCAAAGCAUAUAGUUUUAUACAGACUUUUGAAGAAGCAUGUAUUUACAAGAAAGUGAGUGGGAGCUCUGUAGCAUUUAUGAUAUUAUAUGUGGAUGACAUAUUGUUGAUCAGAAAUGAUACUAAAUUUCUGGAUAGCAUAAAAGGAUACUUGAAUAAGAAUUUUUCAAUGAAAGACCUCGGAGAAGCUGCUUACAUAUUGGGCAUCAAGAUCUAUAAAGAUAGAUCAAGACGCUUGAUAAGACUUUCGAUGAGUACAUACCUUGAUAAGAUUUUGAAGGAGUUCAAAAUGGAUCAGUCAAAGAAGGAGUUCUUGCCUGAGUUGUAAGGUGUGAAAUUGAGUAAAGACUCAAAACCCGGCCACGGCAGAAAAUGGAAAGAGAAUGAAAAGUAAUUCCCUAUGCCUCAGUCAUAGGUCCUAUAAAGUAUGCUAUGUUGUGUACCAGACCUAUUGUAUACCUUAGCAUGAUUUUGGCAAGGGAAUACAUUUAGUGAUCUAGGAGUAGAUCACUGGACAGCGGUCAAAAUUAUACUUAGAGGACUAAGGAAAUAUUUCUUGGUUAUGGAGGUGAUAAAAGAGUUUGCCGUAAAGAGUUACAUCGAUGCAAGCUUUUUACACCGAUCUAGAUGACUCUAAGUCUCGAUCUAGAUACAUAUUGAAAGUGGGAGAAAUUAGCUAGAGUAGCUUUGUGCAGAGUAUUAUAGACAUAGAAAUUUGCAAAAUACAUACGGAUCUGAAUGUUGCAGACCCGUAGACUAAACUUCUCUCACAAGCAAAACAUGAUCACUCUUUGGGUGUUAAUCACAUAGCGAUGUGAACUAGAAUAUUGACUCUAGUAAACCCUUUGGGUAUUAGUCACAUGAAGAUGUGAACUAAUCACAUAAAGAUGUGAACUAUUAGUGUGAACUCACAUGACGAUGUGAACUAGAUUAUUGACUCUAGUGCAAGUGGGAGACUGAAGGAAAUAUGCCCUAGAGGCAAUAAUAAAGGUGUUAUUUAUAUUUCCUUAUAUCAUGAUAAAUGUUUAUUAUUCACGGUAGAAUUGUAUUAACCGGAAACUUAGUACAUGUGUGAAUACAUAGACAAACAGAGUGUCCCUAGUAUGCCUCUACUUGACUAGCUCGUUAAUCAAAGAUGGUUAAGUUUCCUAGCCAUAGACAUGUGUUGUCAUUUGAUGAACGGGAUCACAUCAUUAGAGAAUGACGUGAUGGACUUGACCCAUCCAUUAGCUUAGCACGAUGAUCGUUUAGUUUGUUGCUAUUGCUUUCUCCAUAGCUAUACAUGUUCCUAUAACUAUGAGAUCAUGCAACUCUCAAAUACCGGAGGAACACUUUGUGUGCUACCAAACGUCACAACAUAACUGGGUGAUUAUAAAGGUGCUCUACAGGUGUCUCCAACGGUGUUUGUUGAGUUGGCAUGGAUUAAGAUUAGGAUUUGUCACUUCGAUUUUCGGAGAGGUAUCUCUGGGCCCUCUCGGUAAUGUACAUCACAAUAAGCCUUGCAAGCAAUGUAGCUAAUGAGUUAGUUACGGGAUGUAGCAUUACGGAACGAGUAAAGAGACUUGCCACUAACGAGAUUGAAGUAGGUAUUGAGAUAUCAACGAUCGAAUCUCGGGCAAGUAACAUACUGAUGACAAAAGGAACAACGUAUGUUGUUAUGCGGUUUGACCGAUAAAGAUCUUCGUAGAAUAUGUAGGAACCAAUAUGAGCAUCCAGGUUCCGCUAUUGGUUAUUGACCGGAGACAUGUCUCGGUCAUGUCUACAUAGUUCUCGAACCCGUAGGGUCCGCACGCUUAAUGUUCGGUAUUAUGAGUUUAUGUGUUUUGAUGUACCGAAGGUAGUUCAGAGUCCCAGAUUUGAUCACGGACAUGACGAGGAGUCUCGAAAUGGUCGAGACGUAAAGAUCGAUAUAUUGGAAGCCUAUGUUUGGACAUUGGAAUGGUUCGGGGUGAAAUCGGGAGUAUACCGAAACCCCACGGGAGGUGUUUGGGCCUUAUUGGGCCUUAGUGGAAGAGAGGGAGAAGAAGCAAAGGAGGGGGCGCCCCCCCCCCCAAGCCCAAUCUGAAUUGGGAGGGGUGGGCCCCCCUUUCCUUCCUUCUUCCUCCUCCUUCCUUCUCUCCUAAAACCAAACAAGGGAAGGGGGAAUCCUACUCCCGGUGGGAGUAGGACUCCCUUGGGCGCGCCUAGAGAGGUCGGCCCCCUCCCCUUCCCCCACUACUUUAUAUACGGCGAAGGGGGCACCCCAUAGACACACAAGUUGAUCGUUGAUCUUUUAGCCGUGUGCGGUGCCCCCUCCACCAUAAUCCACCUCGGUUAUAUCGUAGCGGUGCUUAGGCGAAGCCCUGUUCCGGUAGCAUCAUCAUCAUCAUCAUCAUCAUGCCGUCGUGCUGAUGAAACUCUCCCUCGAAGAUCUAAUGGAUCAUGAAUUCGCGGGACGUCACUGAGCCGAGCGUGUGCCGAUCGCGGAGGUGUCGUACCUUCGAUGCUAGAUCGGUCGAUCGUGAAGACUUACGACUACAUCAAGCGCAUUGUCAUAACGCUUCCGCUUACGGUCUAUGAGGGUACGUAGAUGAUACUCUCCCCUCUCGUUGCUAUGCAUCACCAUGAUCUUGCGUGUGCGUAGGAAUUUUUUUUGAAAUUACUGUGUUCCCCAACACUAGUGCCAUAUAACCCACAUGGGCUCUUAGUGAUUUUUCUGAAAUUGUUGGAUGGGCCUAAAGCCCACCCCACACACAGAUGGCACCAUUGAAAGACAAAUUUAAUGCACUACAGGAAUCAGCUAUUUUGCUGUCUGCCACGGCAGACGGCAAAGAGCCACAAAGCUGACGACAAAACUCUUUGCCGUCAGCCGUGGACGACAAACGUGUCCGGCGUUGUAAACACUGGCAAAGAGUUUCUUUGUCGUCUAUUUUGUGACAGCGGACGGCAAAGACCCUUUGUCGUCGGUAAUGGAUGAUGAAGAAGGUAGAUGACAAAGAACCGACGUUAGUCACGUUAGGUGGCUAACGUCAGACUUUGUCGUUAGCCAGCGGACGGCAAAACGUGCUUCAACAUGUCACCACGUACACGUCACCCACAUACCCGGCAUGACGUCCGGUCAAACCGCCACGCGUCACCUCGGGGAAAGCACGUCCUGGGAAAGUGCAUCAUCUGCCACCCCGACGCCCCAUCCCGUCGACGGCCGCCUUGCCUUCCACCCCCAUCGUCCCGUCCCAUAGUCCCAUCCCGCCCCGAGACACCCGCAUUAAUGAGCAGUAAUGCCGACUGCUAGCCCGGUCGCCCACCUCCCGUUACCCGGACGGCUAUAUGAACAUGCCCCACCGUCGGCCCCCCACACCCGACCUCAAACCCACUGCCGGUGAGAAAUCCAGCACAGCACCGGCGAUGUCCUACCACCACGGGAGCAGCAGCGCCGGCGACAACGACGACGCCCGAGCGCCUGGUCGUCCAGCCUCAGCAAUUCAGAGACGAAGGAGUUGUGCCGGUACGGCCUCCUCGUGACGACAAGCUGACGUCUUCCCUGGCAGUGGAAGAUCAGGACGGACGGCUACCCAACGCUCGGCCCCGACGCAACGUCGAACACAUCGACUGCCUCCACAACAUUCAAGGCCGGUAUGACUUCUCGCGCUGCAAGGUGUACAACGAUGUGAUCGCCGCCUUCCGGCUUGCGGCGACCGGCUUCACCCCCGACUUCACUGCCCCGAGCCACCGUCGCGGAUCUGACCACCCCCAGCCAACCCCCCCCCAGCGUCGGUGCAGGGCCCUGCCCCGCAGGAGCACCCUCGCGGAUCUGACCGCCACUAGCCAGCCCUCCCGGCGCCCGCACGCGCACCGGCCGUCCCCCCUGUCGUCGAGCUGCCGCCGGAACAAGUUGUCCUCCAUGAGGGCGACGAUCCGGACGACACUCCGGGGUGGCAUGUUGCCCUACGGGCGUCGGAGGCGGCUGCGAGGGAAGCCGCCGAGGUAGCGGCCGCCAUCGACACUGUCGCGGCCACGGCGGCAGAGGAGGCCGCGAUGGCGCCGGCGAAGGAGGAGGAGGCGGCGCCAUCGGAGGAGGAGGAGGCGGCGCCGGCGGAGGAGGAGGAAGACGGCCCCGUCGACUGGGACAACGUCGUGGCAGACAGCAGCUGCGACGAUGGCGGUGACGGCGAAGGCACCGUCGUGAUCGACCUGCUCGCUAGCGAUGACGACGACUAUAUGUAAAAAUAUUAUGUAAAAUAUAUCUAUGUUGAGUGAAAAUGCAAUUUGAAAAAUAGAUCUAUGUUGAAUUUUAUGCCGACGGGGCGGGGGGAGCGGCGUGNNNNNNNNNNNNNNNNNNNNNNNNNNNNNNNNNNNNNNNNNNNNNNNNNNNNNNNNNNNNNNNNNNNNNNNNNNNNNNNNNNNNNNNNNNNNNNNNNNNNNNNNNNNNNNNNNNNNNNNNNNNNNNNNNNNNNNNNNNNNNNNNNNNNNNNNNNNNNNNNNNNNNNNNNNNNNNNNNNNNNNNNNCGACCUGGGGGGGCUUAGCGGCGGGUCGUCGUUGGCGGCGGGCGGCGGUGGGGUGCGGUCGGGGGGGAAGAGGAGGGGAUGGGAGACGAAGAGAGGAGGGGGCAUUAGGGCCGUUAGGUAGGGACUUGUUUGACGUCCGCUAGCUGACGGCAAAGUGAGCAGGUGGGGGUGGGCUGUUACAAUAGCUGGCCUCCACUGGACCCCACCCACCUCUCUGCCUUCAGCUAGCGGAUGGCAAAGUUUUGUUGUCGUCAGCAAGCCGACGGCAAAGAAGAGGUUGAUGGCAAAUUCUUUGAUUCCAGUAGUGAUGGUUGGAUGGCUACUUGCGAUGUUUUACUCAUGUUUGUCCUGUCCAGAGAGCACAAUGGUUGUUACUUGCUAAAUUUUGGCACAAUUUCAGCAUGCGCUCUACUUUGGACAACAAAUCUCCAUUCGAGGUGCUCUACGGCCAUUCUUCUCGCCACUUUAGUGUUACAUCUACCGACAUUUGCCCUGUUCCUGAAUUGGAUGUGUGGUUAAAGAGUGUGGCCUUAUGCUGAGAUUGUUACAGGAACGCGCUCAUAUGAAAAGCCAUGGCAACAAGAAGCGUUCAGGCCGAGUGCUCCAGAUUAGCGACUCUUUUUAAGCUGCAACCCUAUAGUCAGUCUACAUUUGCAUCACGAGGACAGCCCAAGUUGUUGUUCAAGUUUUAUGGUCCGGUCAAAGUGCUUGACGGGUUGGUUACAUAGCUUAUCGUCUCUAAUUUUCCACCUGAAGAUGCGCAAUUAUUUGUACCAUGAAAAGUGUUACAGCGUCGAUUCUGGCAUGAAUUGCAAUAUGGGAAGACUUAGAUGAGCCAUGAGCCACAGUUUGGGGACAAGUUGUUCUUCAAGGGACGGGGCCAAGUCAAUAGCGACAAAGUUAGCGACCAAGCCUCUAGACGCAUCGCCAGUGUAGAAGGAUACAUCAUCCUUCUAAUCCCUACACUCAAGACCAAUGGGUCACGGGCCCGUUAACACAUGGAAGGUUGUCAUGUUUUGAAACCUGGGCUUCGUGUCAUAUAAAUGGACGAUGCAUAGCGGCUUCCCUUCAAAAUCCUUCUAAUCCCUACUACCUCGCUGCUCCGUAUUGUUUUUAUGACAUGUAAACAGGGACCUCCCAUCGUGCGUUUAUAUGACAUGAAAAUUGGAAAAUAUGAUUAGCUAGAUAAAAACAUGAACGGUUUUGAAAAUUCUGAACAUUUUUUGAAAAACACGAAUAUUUUUUUUCCAAUUGUCAACAUCUUUUAAAGGAAACAGUUUCCAAAAAUUCCUGAUUUUUUUUUAUUUCUGAACAAACUUAAAAACAGGAAAAACUCUUAAAAGUGUGAAGAUUAAAAAAACAAGAAAAUCUUUUGAAUAUGUGAAAAAAAAUUAAAACAGGAACUUCUUCAAAUUUCAAAACCCGAACAUGAUUUGAAAUUCCACAGAUAUUUUUUGAAAAGGCAACCAUUUUAUGAAUAUGUGAACAAAUUUGAAAACGGGAAACACUUUUGAAAUUUGAUUCGAAAAGAAACAGAAAAAAGGAAAAGGAAAAACCGAGAGGAAAAAAAUAAAGAAAACAAAAAGGAAGAAAAACCGGAUCAAGGUUCCUUAAACCGGUUAUGAACCUUUUGCCAGAACCAGUGGCUCGCUCCUCUCGAAUUCGAAUUCCUCGAUUGAUAGACAAAUCCCCAUUCCGAUCUAGAUCCACUAUCCCCACGCUAAGAAAGAAGACAAUAACGCGAACACUGGCUGCUUCUCGAGCGCACGGCUGAUACAAUGCAACAGCUGUCUGCUGAUAGCCAUGGCUGCCUACGCGAUCCAACAGCGACGGGGCCUCCAGCCGCCGACAGAACCUGGUCUCUGGCGUCCGAAAUUGUUAGACCUUGGGUUCUUCUCGAACAAGUCGCUGGUGAGCGGGCGAGCUGGCCGAGCGGCGACGGCAGAGCUGCAGGUGGCUCGGUCGAAGCCGGUACAUAACCGGUUACCCACACGUAAGUAGAAAAAUAAAAAAGACAAUCAAUAAAAAUGAGAAAAUGACUUGGUAAUCAAAGUUUACGAACUGGUUGCAAUUUUGUGAAGCCCAUCUUGGAUCUUGGGGGGUGGCAAGUACUCCCUCUGUAAACUAGUACUAACAAAUACUCCCUCUGUUCCUAAAUAUAAGUCUUUGGAGAGAUUCCACUAUGAACCACAUACGGAUGUAUGUAGAUACAUUUUAGAGUGUAGAUUCACUCAUUUUGCUCCGUAUGUAGUGCAUAGUGAAAUUUCUACAAAGACUUAUAUUUAGGAACGGAGGAAGUAUAUAGUUCAAGAAAACUAAUAAAUAUAUAAGAUCUUUUAGAUCACUACUAUAAGAUCUUUUUAGAUCUUCUAUUAGUUUUCAGAGGACUAAUAUCUAAAAGAUCUUAUAUUAGUCUAGAAACUAAUAAGAUAUUUUUAUAAUGAUCUAAAAGAUCUUAUAUUAGUUUACACAGGGAGUACUAACCUUUUGUUUUACUAGUUUCACAGAAGGGAAUUACCAGAGCAAGUAGUCAAACUGUCACAGCCAACGAGCCAACGACGACAUGCGCAUACCCAACGACGUCAAGCCACAUUAUUGGUCUCAUGCCAACAACCUGACAGCUGAGUAUCAAAACCAUAUAAGUUAACAGGCACCAAUGUACAAGGGGAUGAUUCGCCAUCACACCUCACAACGGCUCAACAUGUGAUACACAGAUAAAUAAAUGGCUGGAGAAUAUCUCUACCAAUUGCUUGUUGAAUGAAAGUUUUUACAGCAAGACAUGAUAACACAGCUACAGCAACCCACGAAACAAGUCGUCCUAGCGCACUUAUUUCCAUGGCUCAGGCACCAAAGAAUGGACCGGGGACCGCAUAACUCAAUCUCAAUCUAGAAUCAAUGGAGAGGAACAUCGGUUAUUCUGCUUCCUCUCCAGCCCUA